CUUUGGAACAUCUCUGUUCUGUUGCUUGAUGGGAAUCAAUUCUCUGGUGAACUUCCAUCCCAGAUCAUCUCAUGGAAGUCGCUCACUAAUUUGAAUCUCUCAAGAAACAAACUUUCAGGCCUAAUUCCCAAGGCAUUAGGUUCUUUACCUAGCCUUACUUACCUCGACCUGUCAGAAAACCAGUUCUUAGGUCAAAUUCCUUCUGAACUCGGUCAUUUGAAGCUUAAUAUCCUCAAUCUUUCGUCUAACCAACUCUCUGGGUUGGUCCCCUUUGAGUUUCAAAAUGAAGCAUACAAUUACAGUUUCUUGAACAAUCCCAAGCUGUGUGUCAAUGUUGGCACUCUGAAACUCCCUAGAUGUGAUGCCAAAGUCGUUGACUCCGACAAAUUGUCAACCAAAUAUCUCGUUAUGAUCCUAAUUUUAGCUCUAUCUGGUUUCCUAGCUGUUGUUUUCUUUACCCUGGUCAUGGUUCGAGACUAUCACAGGAAGAAUCAUAGUCGAGACCAUACAACUUGGAAGCUUACUCGAUUCCAAAAUCUGGAUUUCGAUGAACAGAACAUAUUGUCCGGUUUGACAGAAAAUAAUUUGAUCGGACGUGGUGGGUCAGGGAAAGUAUACCGAAUUGCUAAUGACCGUUCUGGUAAAAUCUUUGCUGUUAAAAUGAUUUGUAACAACGGGAGAUUGGAUCACAAGCUUCAGAAACCAUUCAUAGCAAAAGACGAGAUAUUGGGCACCUUACACCAUUCCAAUAUAGUGAAGUUGUUGUGCUGCAUAUCAAAUGAAACCACAAGUCUUCUUGUUUACGAGUACAUGGAGAACCAGAGUUUGGAUAGAUGGCUUCAUGGGAAGAAGCAGAGAACAUUGUCCAUGACAAGUUUAGUUCAUAACUUCAUCUUGGAUUGGCCAACAAGGUUGCAGAUUGCCAUCGGAGUUGCAAAAGGCCUACGCCACAUGCAUGAAUACUGUUCUGCCCCGAUCAUACAUCGAGAUGUAAAGUCCAGCAACAUCUUACUAGACGCUGAGUUCAACGCGAAAAUUGCAGAUUUUGGAUUAGCCAAGAUGUUGGUCAAGCAAGGAGAGCCUGACACCAUGUCAGGAGUUGCAGGCUCUUACGGAUAUAUUGCCCCCGGUAAGACCAUCCAAGGCCUUCCUGUCCACAUGUUCUCAUUUCCAUAAUUUAUAGAUAAUUUUUAUCAAAUAAUUCUCGUAUGCUUGGAUGACAGAGUAUGCUUAUACAACAAAGGUGAACGAGAAGAUUGAUGUAUAUAGCUUUGGAGUAGUUCUGCUUGAGCUGGUGACGGGGAGAGAACCCAACAACGAGCACAUGUGCCUUGUAGAAUGGGCAUGGGAUCAGUUUAGAGAAGGGAAAACCAUUGAGGAAGUGGUGGAUGAGGAGAUCAAGGAACAAUGUGACAGAGCACAAGUGACCACUCUCUUCAAUCUAGGCCUCAUGUGCACUACCACAUUACCAUCCACUAGGCCAACAAUGAAGGAGGUUUUGGAAAUUCUUCAACAGUGCAAUCCUCAGGAGGACCAUGGAAGAAAGAAAAAGGACCAUGAAGCUACACCCCUGCUUCUAAAUGGCACUUAACCCACCAGUUACAAGCAUAGCGACAAGGGAUUUCUAUUUUUAUGUCAUUACUAUAGUGGGAUUUCAAAGAAAUGGGCUUCAUUUUUUAAGCUUCUCAUUACCAGCAGGAGUCCCACUGCCGUUAGCACCUUUGUUAGUAGUUCUUGAGUUAAUCCCUCAUUGUUUUCAUGCAUUAAACUCAGGAAUGCAUUUAUUUGCUAAUAUGAUGGCCGAUCAUAGUUCAAUAAAGAUUUGAAGUGGGCUUGUGUCACGCCCAAAAUCUGGUUAACCCAAAACUCGACUCGUGACCUCAGUUCAAAAGUUUGACCCUAAGAGUUACUCCUAUCCACGUUGGCAAUCAACUAAAAUAUCCUGAAUUUUUUUUCUAUUUUUCAAUAAAGCGUUUAAUCCCAAAUAAAUUUAUUAAGUUAAGAUUUACUGUAACAUAUUAUUUUAUUUUUCCAAAACCAACUAUCACACUAUCUCCUGUUCACAAGUAUAAUAAAUCCACCAAUCAUCUUUCUACCCAAAAACUCAAAUAUUUAUAAUAAUCUCCAAGUAAAAAAGAAUAUUUCCAAAAAUGUUUUACAAACUAACAAAAUAUAAUUUAAUUUACAAAAGUCCAUAUAACUCAAAUUAGCACAUGUCAAAAAGGUAAUAUACAUCUAAAAACAACCAUUAUUAUGGUUCUUUUGCUUUCUGGAACACUUCCUAAUCUUCCUGUGGCCCCUCAAAAACUAUAUUUGCAUAUAAAAAUUUUAGAAAAUAAAAGAAUGAGCAUUUCCACGUUGCUUAGUAGGGUGUUUUACACCCAAAUGAGUUACACAUUCUAGGUCAAUAAAACACAACUAUAUACCAAAAUAUAAUGUUACAUUUACAUUAUACACACUAAAAGAAACCUCAACUAUACAAAUUUAAACUAAUCAAAAUUAUCAUUUUUCUUAUUCAAUAAUAUGCCAAUAAUUCUAAAUUUACAAAAUAAAUAAGCCAUUUUAGUCUUGAAUAAUAUAUUCAAACAUACACUUGAUAAAUAAUACAAAUCCUUCUUCCAAAUGCAACCAUGAUGCAAAUGUUUACACGCAAUCACGUAAUACACUGUCAUUCUCGAGCUUUCACCGAAAGAUACGCAUCCGUACCCAAAUACACUCUCCAUUCAGAAUUUUCUCAGGGUAAACUUUUGGGUCUUUCACCCUAAGGAUCUCACUCUCUUCUUAAUUCACCAUCUCUAGGGUCAUUCCAUUUCUUAUUUUUCUUUUCAUUUCAUUUUUGCCAUCUUCGGGGUCUUUUCAUUCUCAUUUCCCUUUCACACAACGAUUUCUUUAAUUUUUCUUUUUCUUCACACAACCAUGAUGCAUAUGAAAUGCAAUCAAAUCAUAUUUUAACAUCCAUAAAUUUCCAAAACAUAAUUUUAUUUACUCCCAUUAUGUUUCAUAAUUUCCAACAAUUCACACAACGAUUUUUCUUCACUUUAAUCACCACAAACAUCAAAGAAAAUUCAUAAUUAAUUUAUAUAGUAUCAAAACAUAGUUUUAAACCUUAGCCACAUAAAUUCUAUUUAUUCUUGACAUGCUUAAUAAUUUCCAACAACCAAUAUAACCAUUUUUUUUUUCAAUUAAAUAACCACAUAUAACCAAGAAAAUUCCCACUAAUACAAAUAUUAACAAAAACGUAAUUUAUGUCAUAAUUUAUUUAUCUUCAAUAAUCUCAAUAAUUUUAACACUCAAUACAACAAUUUUCCACAAUUAAGCCACCUCAACAUUCGGGAAAUUUUUUUCAAUAAUUCAAAUAUUAACAAAAUCCCAAUUUAUACCAUCAAUUUAUUUAUUUCUAACAAUAUUAAUAAUUUUAAAACAAUAAAUUUAACCAUAUCUCAAUAUUACAAAAUUUCAACAAAUAAAUUCCAUUAUUUUCAACACUAAUAUAUCAUCAAGAAAUUUAUAUAAUUUCUAAUAUGAUAAAAAUCACAAAAAAUAUAUUAACCAAUGUUCCAAAUUAGCAAAGUUUCAUAACCACAACAAUCCGGUAAAUUCUAUCAUAAGGACAACAAUUAAAUACCAACAAUUCUAAUAUUUUUAUCUUGAAUUAAACUUUUAUCCACUUUCCAUUUAACAUUUUCAAAGCAAAACCAAAUCAUUUCAUAUAUUUAGAGUUUCCAAAAAAUAACUUAAUGAAAACUAUAUGACGAUCUACUAUAACUCAACAACUCACCCAUUUUCAUGGAGUUUUUUGAAAGUAAAUAAAAGCAAAAUGAAAUGCCCUAAAAAAUUCGAGAGAGAAAUUUAGGAAAAACACACCCUUACCUGUACAAUAAAAUCCAACCGUCAAUGAUAAAAAUAGAUGUCGAUUUAAUACCUAAACUUUUUCUAACAUUAAAGUAAAUAUGAUUUCAUGAAUUUCACAUUUUCUAUCAUCUUGACCUAAAUCCAAUGGGAUUGAUCACUUUUUUCUCAUUCCAUAAUUCAAUCCCAUGAAGAUGAUUCGGUCACCAACCAUUUACUAAGUUGUGACACCCAUUUUCUACACCAAUUCAAACACUCCACUUUUGUUAAUAACUUUUAGCCAAUAUAAAAAAAUGAACCUACCAUUUGAUAUAUAAAGCAUGCAUUUUCUUUUAAUGAUGUCAUAUUUUGAAUUAUUUUUUAUAUAAACAUCAUUAAAUUCAUUUAAGAGAAGUUAUUUUAUGAUGGGAUAUACUUUCUACUUUUUAUUUUUAAAAUUAGAAACCACUAUAUACUCUCUUUUAUCUUUCUUUUACACUUGAAUUCUUUAAGGUUUUAGGAGCUUCAAAAAUGUUAUAUGCACACCUUCCACAUAAUCUCUAGAGGGUAAAGUGGAUAUAUAAUAGGUAUAAAAAGCAACUCUAUCAAGUAGCAUGUAAACAAUUUAUGACUUAAGAGAAGAUAUUGUUACGACAAAAGGCAUAUUCCAGCUUAUUAUUUGAAAAGGCUUUAAAGAGGAUAUUCAGUGGAGAAUAAAUGAUUUGUAGAUUUGUGGUUAGCUAAAAUGUGUUCAAGGUAGUAUAUGCAUACCUUUAGUGAGUUAAAAUGGCUAUUAAACACGAGUUCCCUAGGUAGAUCAAUCAUGAGUUUAAUUAACCACGUGACUAAUAAGUAUAGUAUUAAAUACAUUACAAUUUACAAGUAACCCUUGGAGGGAAAAACUACUAAUAUGGUGAAUCACAUGUCAAGAAAGUAGUUUUUUUUUUUAAUUUAUUUUUUAUUCUUCUUCAUAUUUUCAAGUUUUCAACCAAAAAAAAAAGUAUUACGCUCAACCACUUGUCCAGUGGUUCUACUUUUGUGACCACCUAAGCUUUAUUACAGGAACUUUUGGGUAUCCCGAACUCUCUUAAAUUAUGAAGCCACCUUUUUUUAUGGACUUCAACCAAGUUUUAAGCAUAAUUUUCAAGUAAAAUAUAUCUCAAUUUAAUCUUUUAAGCUUUUAACAACUUUAGAGUACUUUUCAUAAUAAAAAUGAGGCUCAUGGUGGUAUCAAACUAGGAUUACCCAAUUCUUAAGCUAAAUAGCUCAUAAUAUUUAAGAAGUCUUCUCAUACGUGGUUUUAGUUCUACCUCUUUAAAACUAAUUGAGAUAGUCAUAUUUGUUAUUAUAAGCUCCUUGGGUAAAUUAUGAAUAAGUUAAUUUCAGCUUAAAAUAAUAAAUUGAGCAAAUAAACAUGUAAUAAAGUUGAAACUCAUGACCCUCCUACUGAAUGAAGUUUUAAUAUUAUAUUGGAUAAUUAAUUUUUUUUAAAGCUUAAACUUAAGAUUUGCAUCCUCGUGAAUAUUGCAUUAUGCUUUCUAAUAAUAUAUCACAUACUUUUUUAGAUUUUAUGUUAGACCUGUGAUUACUUCUCUAAAUCAAUUUUUCAGCAUAUUGUAUAUAUGUACUUAUUAGGAAGAAUCAAUUAUCAUUGAAUGCAGAAAUACAACUCCUCAUAGUGUCUCUUUGCUUAUUUCCUCUACAGCUUUGAUUAGUUGAAUUUAAAAGAACUCCCGGGUGCUUUCACAAAAUGUAUUGAACUUCAAACCUGCACAAAGAUAGAAACCAUAUCAUUGAAAUAAUUAAAUAGAUCAACUAAAAUCAAAGUGCUAUUGUCUUAUUUAAAAAUAAAUAUAAAAAAUCAUGGGCUUUAUGCAAAAACGAUAGUUGCGCAAAACUCCUUAUUGGGAAUACUAGAUAGGUGCCAUGUGUCAUUUCAUUCGGCACCUUCUUCCAUAACCAUCAAAAAUGAUCUUUGUUCCGGAAGAAAACAAGAGUUUUGGGCAAAUAUAAUAUAUUUGAAAAAUAAAUUCAUAAAAUAGAUUUUCAAUCAAAAUAAUUUUCAAGUUAGUGCAUGUGUUUUCAAAAUUUGAAAUUUUCCACUGUAUGUGAAAAUUGUGGAAAGUGUCUUUUAAAAAGACACUUUCAGUAUAAACCCAAUUUUUAAAAAAUUAUGAAAGACAUCCAAGUAUAAUUCCAUUUUUUUUUUUUUGGAAAUUAUGGAAGGUGUCUCUUCAAGAGACACUUUCAGCAUAAAUUUGAAAUUUUUCACUGUUUGAAUGAAAAUUGUGAAAAGUAUCUCUUGAAGAGGCACUUUCAGUAUAAACCCAAUUUUUUUAAAAUGUAAAAGAGACACCUUUCCCAAUUCCUAAAAAAUGGAAUUAUACUAAAGGUGUCUCUUGAAGAGACACCUUUCAUAAUUUUAAAAAAAUUGGGUUUAUACUGAAAUUGUCUCUUGAAGAGACACUGUCCACAAUUUCCAUACAUAGAAAAAUUUCGAAUUUAUGUUGAAGAGAGAUAUCUUUAACUUUAAAAUUAUUUUCACAAUUUUAUGGAAUUAUGGAAAGUGUCUUUUCAAAAAACACCUUUAGUAUAAAUCUAAUUUUUUGGAAUUGUAGAAAUUGUCUCUUGAAGAGGCAAAUUCAUGAAACAUUCAAAUUUAUCAAAUUAUGGAAGGUGUUUUUUCAAGAGAUACCUUUAAUGCAUAUUGGAUUUUUUAUCAUAUGAAAGGUGUUUUUUCAAGAGACAUAUUUAAUACAUAUUGGAUUUUUUAUCAGGUAAAAAGUGUCUUUUCAAGAGAUAUUUUUAAUAUAAAUUUAAUUUAUAAAAAUGAUAGAAGGUGUUUGUUAAAGAAAUACUUUAUAUUAAAUUUAAUUCUUUUAAAUAUAUAUAUUAUGAUUUUGAAAACGGUGGAAGAUGCUCUUCAAAAGACACCUUUGGCAAAAGUUAAGAAAGCCCAACUCACGGGUAAUUCUGCCGACAGAAAAAAUGAUAGGACGUGACCUUUGAUGUGAUAAAUGAAAAAGGGUAUGUUGGUCCCGUACCAUUGCCAUCAAUUAUGAGCGCGCAGCAGGUCCGCAAGUUUUUUCCAGUCAACGGAUAUUUUCCACAUUCAUUUCGUAUUCCACGCAGACUUACGAAAGCAACCUUAGCGAGUAUGGGUGGACGCAUUUUCCUGAUAAGCUUCAUGGAAUCUUUAAGAUGAAGGAGGAUGCUACUUCCACAUUCUUUAACCGAGCGUGCUAAACACGCUCUCUAAUUUUUCUAUAUUCUUAAUUUCUAAUGUUGUAUAUAUAAUAUUUUUUAAAUAUAAUAGUAAAAAAAUUAUUUUAAUUUAUUAUAAUUUUAAGAGUCAAAUAAAAAAUUAAAAAAUACAUAGACAAAUAGACCUUUAGCAAAAUAAUUUGAGCUUAAAAUAAUAAAUUGAGCAAAUAAACAUAUAGUGAAGUUAGAACUUAUGACCCUUCUACUAAACUAAAUGGAGUUCUAAUAUUAUAUUGGAUAAUUAAUUUUUUUAAAAGCUUAAACUUAAGAUUUGCAUCCUCGUGAAUGUUGCAUCAUACUUUCUAAUAAUAUAUCACAUACUUUUUUAGAUUUUAUGUUAAACCUGUAUUCACUUCUCUAAAUCAAUUUUUCAGCAUAUUGUAUAUAUGUACUUGUUUGGAUGAAUCAAUUAUCAAUGAAUGCAGAAAUACAACUCCUCAUAGAGUCUCUCUCUGCUUAUUUCCUCUAUAGUUUGAUUAGUUGAACUUAAAAGAACCCCCAAGUGCUGUCACAAAAUGUUUUGAACUUCAAACCUGCACAAAGAUAGAAACCAUAUCAUUGAAAUAAUUAAAUAGAUCAACUGAAAUCAAAGUGUUAUUGUCUUAUUUAAAAAUAAAAAUCAUGGGCUUUAUGCAAAUACGAUAGUUGCGCAAAACUCCUUAUUGGGAAUACUAGAUAGGUGUCAUGUGUCAUUUCACUCGGCACUUUCUUCCAUAACCAUCAAAAAUGAUAUUUAUUCAGGAAGAAAACAAGAGUUUUAGGCAAAUAUAAUAUAUUUGAAAAAUAAAUUCAUAAAAUAGAUUUUUCAAUCAAAAUAAUUUUCAAGUUAGUGCAUUUCAACUACUUGGACAUCCAAAUAGUCUUAAAAUGUUUUAUUUUUUUAGCAUAAAUUUAAAACCGUAAUUAAUAACUAUAAUUUUAACCAUUUAAAAAAAAAAAGAAUUUCUAAGUUGGUAUGUUUCAACUACAUGAACAUCCACAUGGCAUGAUAAUAAUUUUUUUUUAAAUGUUUUUUACAUCACAAAAUUGUAAUUAGUAACUACUAUUUUAAAUUUUUUUAAAACAUAAAAUCACAGUUGGAGACUAUAAUUUUAAGUAUAUCUUUAAAAUUUAUAGUUAAUAAUCGUAGUUGCCGAUUAUGAUUUUAAAUUUAAAUUUAAAACCAUAAUUGAUUAUUAUUAUUUUAACCAUUUAAAAAAAUCAAAAUUAUAGUUAGCAAGUACAGUUUGUGACAUGGAUACACAUGUAGAUGAGACACUCUAGUUUGAAAAUUAUUUUGAAAGGGUCUACUUUGUAGAAUUUUAUUUUUGCAAAUAAAUUAUUUUUCCUCAAAACUCAAAUCUAACUUGUUUAGAAAUAAAUUCAAUUAUACACUUUCCUAGUUUUUCUCUUCCCUAAUAUAAGACCAAGUCCGUGUUAUCACUUUUCCACAGGAAUAUUCAGUUUCAGUCUUCAUCAAUGCUGUCCAUUCCCUUAGCUGUGCAUUAUUCCAAUGCCAGUUUUCUACCAUAAUUUAGUCCAGGAUGUGGAACCACUGCUGGAUCAUGCUGGAUCCUGUUGUGAGACUUGACCAUCAACAUCCCUUCUCUCCAUUUGUGGGGUCCUGCCCACUUAAUCACUACUUUGGAAAUUUCGCUAACAUCCAAAUCUCAACAACCCAAAACCACAGACUUCUGCAUCCUUCCAUCCAUCUUUCUUUAAGUAAAAUAGACACCCAUUUGGUCUUUCUUUCACUUUCUCCCAAGAAUACUAAUCUUGUCUGACUGAUUAGUUUCAUCAGAGAUUAUUCAAGAAAAAGAAUAUCACAUUUUAUAUUUGAAAAAAAAAAGUACUGAAUAUAUUAGAAAGAUAUCAUCCACGAAAAGUUGGAAAUGUAAUCUUGUACAAGGAAAGGAAACAAGGGAGAGUCUUAAAUAAAUUGUUUCCAUAAGAGACCUAAUGACCAAUGUCAUUAGGGGUGUUUAAAAAAAAUUAAUUAAUGGUGAUUAAAUGUUUAAAAAAUUAUAUUUAAUGCAUAUUUUUAUGAUGACGAAGACUUGCAAAAGCAACCUUUGGAAUUUGUCUGGACCAUUUUUCUGAUAAGCUUCAUGGAAUUUUAAGAUGGAGAAUGCUACCUCCACAUUCUUUAACCGAGUGUGCAAAACACGCUCUCUCUAAUUUUUCCAUAUUCUUAACUUUUAAUGCUAUAUAUGUAUAAAAUAAUUUUAAUUUAUCAUGAUUUAAGAGGAGUUAAAUAAAAACUUAAAUAUUUUUAAAAAGAAAAUUUCAAUAUGAUACAUCUAUUUUAAAAUUAUCUUUUGGAUAGAUAUUUUAUAAAUUAUUAUAAAUUUUAAAAUAUUUUUUCAACUAUUAUACAUCUCAAAUUAUUUCUAUCAUUUUUUUAAUUUCACCUUAUCAAGUUUAUAAGAUAGAAUAUAGAGUAUGACAUGGAUUUAAAUUUUAUAAUCAUAUUAAAAUAUUAAAAAAUUAUCAACAAUCAAAUAGUUUCAUAUAUAUAUAUAUAUAUAUAUUUUCAAAUCUUAUUCAUUGUAACUUCAUUCUAUUUAUUUAUACCCUUUUACCUUAGUUUCAAUGCUUAUAUAUUCAUCAAACAACCUAAAUUUUAUUUUAUAUAUAUUUAAUGAUUUAGAUUUUUUGUUAUAUAUAUAUAUAUAUAUAUGAAGGGUUUAUCCCAUCACUUCAUGAGUUUCCCUUACUCCACUCCAUGAACAAUAUCUUGAAAGUGAAGUUGACUUUGCUCAUCCUGCAAGACUUAUCCUCAAGAGUCAAGAACUUGAACCUGAACCUUAGGAUAAAUCUUAGGAUAAAUCUUAUACCACCAUCUCUUGUCCGGGUUGUUCCCUAACGGGAGACAUUAUUAGUUUUUUUUUUUUUUUUUUUUAUCAAAUUAUUAUUCUAACACCAUUUUUAUUAAUGUGAAAUUAUCAUCCCUUAUUACUUUUCCCUUUCUGUCCUCUCCCUUCUCUCCUCCCCAACCUCAUUUCCUAAUUGCACCCUAUUUUUAUUUUUCUUUCCUAACCCCCACCCCACAUUUUAGCAUUAUUUUUCUUUUAUUUUUAUCUUCAUUUUCAUCUCUACCCAUCCAACCCCCCACCCCAUGUAAACUUUGUUUUGUUUUUCUUUUUAUUUCUUUUAUUUUUUUCACACUCAAUUAUUUUUCAUAUUCUUCUUAUAUUUUAAAGCAAAAUAAUUUCUUUAAAUAAUAAAUUAUAAAAUGAUUUUUUCACCAAAAGUAUAUUAUGUAAAAUGAUUUUAUUAUAUUCAAUGUUUUAAUGUGAAAUUCAUAACUCAAUUUUUUAAAAUAAAAAUUAUUAUUAAAAUUUUAAAAUAAACAAUAUUUAAUUGGAAUGGUCUUUUAAAAAAUAUGUUUGUUUAUUGUGUUCAAUAUGAUUUUUUUUGUAACCUAAACAAAAAUAUUGCAUAUAACUAGAGCUUGAUUAAGAAUAUGAGCAAUGUAAUAAUUAUUUGUGUUAGUAAAGUAAAGACUCAUAAAACAAAGUAUGUAAUCAAGAGCCUAAAAAAAAGUCAAACCCAGGUUGUUGAAUCCCCACCUAGGCCGCCGAUUUUUCUUUUUGAUAUAUAUAUAUAUAUAUAUAUAUAUAUAUUGUCAUUAGAUGAUUGAAUUUCAUCAUUCAUUGUAUUUCGUAUGUGAUUUGUAAUCUUAAUCAACUAGAAUUUAUGUUCAAUAUGUUGAGAGGAGGUUAAAGAGAGUUCUUUAUUAAAAAUGGUAUAUGUGAAAAAAAAAAAUAUGAUAAAAAAGUGUUACGUUUAACAAAAGAGCUAUUGCAAAUAUCAACCUUUUUUUAUAUUCUUUAACCCCACUUUAACCAAAGGAUAAUAUAAACUUAUCACAAGAUUAUGAAAAGACUUGUCUUUAUUCAUGAUAUUUUUCUUUAACAGUUCAACUCGGCACCUUCUUCCAUAAAUAAAUUAUAUUUGCUUUGGAAGAAAACUUGAGUUUUGAACAAAUAUAAUAUAUUUGAAAAAAAAAAUCCAUAAAAUGGAUCUUCAAUCAAAAUAAUUCUCAAAAUAGUGUAUUUGUACUUGGGCAUCCAAAUAGUUUGAGAAUAUUUUUUAUGUGAUAAAAUCCUAAUUGAUAACUAUGAUUUUAAUUUUUUUUUUUUAAAUAUAAAACCGCUGUUGGUAACUAUAGUUUUAACUAUUUUAAAAGAAAAUUCAAAAUCAUAAUUAACAACUAUAGUUUUAUAAGGUGGAUAUGUUAGCUCUUUUCUUAUAAUGUGUGCUCAUAUAUAAUUAUAUUUGUGUAAAUAUUAUUUAAAAGUAUCAAUUGAUAGAUAGGUGAAUCAAUUGAUUGGGCAUCCAAGAGUCUUAUGUAUGGAAGACUCAAAUUAUAAAUGGGGAGUUAGAAAAUUUAAUUUAUAUGAAUGUGGUGUUUGUAACCCCAUCAUUAUGAAAUUUAUUUUGUACAUUAUAUUUAUGAGUAAUAGAGGAAAAUGAAAAAGUAUAAUCUAUGCAUUUAUAUAAAUGCAUUCAAGUUCAUAACUCACCAUUACUCAUUAAUUUGUACAUAAUAGGUGUAAAUAAUGAGUAUAACUCUCAUAUAGUCUUUUAUAAGAAGACUAAGAUGUUGUUUGUUUUUUGGCUGAAUAGAAAAAAUCAAAUAUUUUGGCUUUUUUUAUUAAGCUAAAAGUAACUUGUUGAUACUAUCCAACAUAGGUAAAGUGAACUUAUUAUCAAUAAGUUUAGUUUAAUGAUGUUGGUUGAUGUCAAUAAGUUACUUUUAGCUGAAUAGAAAAAGCAAAAAUAUUUGAUUUUUUCUAUUCAGCCAAAAAACAAACACCACCUAAGAGAUGUACAACUUUUUAUAAGUUAAGGUCUCAAAUCACAUUCUCAUUCUUAUGUCAUUUUGUUAUUUUAUUUUUUAACAACAUACACCACAUAAGUGACCCAUCCACUAUAUGAGAGUAGUGAGUUGAAGACUUUGAUAAUACAAUUCAUAAAAUGAUUCAAUUUCACUUCAAAAAUGAUAUUGGUAUUAUAAAUCAAGGUAAGAAUAUGAUCAUUAUUUUAAUAUUUAUAUUUAUUUUGUUUUAUGUAUUCAAAAUUGUUUUUUUUUUAAAUAAUGAUUUCCGCAUAAAGUUUAUAAAAGUUUAGUUAACAAGAUACCUAUGUGGAUGAGAUGCACUAAAAUUAUUCUGAGAUGGAACCUAUCUUGUGGAAUUUUUUUUAAAUAAAUUAUUUUUGUUCAAAACUUAGAAAAAAUAACUUGUUGAAAACUAAAUUCAACUAUACACUUUCGUAUUUUUCUUUUUAUAAGAUCAAAUCCACGUUAUCACUUUUCCACUAGAAUCCUCAUGAUUAAUUGUAGAAUUCUUGAGAUGAAAUGAAAUGGUUGUUGAAACUUCAGUUUUCAAACUUGAUCAAUGUUGUCCCUUCCCUUAGCUGUGCAUUAUUCCAAUGCCAGUUUUUCUCCACAAACUUAGUCCAGAGACAAGAUUAGAUUCCGUGUGGAACCAUUCAUGUGUGGAUCCCGUUGUGAGACUUGACCAUCAAUAUCCUUCUCUCCAUUUGUGGGGUACUGCCCACGUGAUCACUACUUUGGAAAUUUGACUCUCAAAGACCCAUAACUACAGAUUUUCCAUAAAACCAAAACGUGAUGUAGACUAAUUGGCGCCUAGCGUUGACCCAAAGUGAAGUCUUUUCUCUUGUCUGGCAUUUUCCACAUUUAUUUAUGAUUACCAUUUACCAAGACUUGCAUAAGCGACAUUGGGAAUUGGUGUACCCCAAUUUUCUGACAUGGAUUUACAACACUCAUAUAUUUAUAUUUUUAUUGAUUCUCAUUUCUCAAUGUCAAGAAUAGAUGUUAAUAUUUAAUACCUAAACUGUUUCUAACAUUAAAGUAAAUAUGAUUUCACGAAUUUCAUAUUUUCUAUCCUGUGGAUGAGAUGCACUAAAAUUAUUCUGAGAUGGAACCUAUCCUGUGGAAUUUUUUUUAAAUAAAUUAUUUUUGUUCAAAACUUAGAAAAAAUAACUUGUUGAAAACUAAAUUCAACUAUACACUUUCGUAUUUUUCUUUUUAUAAGAUCAAAUCCACGUUAUCACUUUUCCACUAGAAUCCUCAUGAUUAAUUGUAGAAUUCUUGAGAUGAAAUGAAAUGGUUGUUGAAACUUCAGUUUUCAAUCUUGAUCAAUGUUGUCCCUUCCCUUAGCUGUGCAUUAUUCCAAUGCCAGUUUUUCUCCACAAACUUAGUCCAGAGACAAGAUUAGAUUCCGUGUGGAACCAUUCAUGUGUGGAUCCCGUUGUGAGACUUGACCAUCAAUAUCCUUCUCUCCAUUUGUGGGGUACUGCCCAAAGGCAAUUAGGAUAAGUUUCUUUAUUGACUAUUCAAUGCCCUGUCACAUUGAUUUAUUGUCCGCCCCAGUGCCCAAUGGCCCAUUCAUAUUGACUUGACUUUCAAAUACCAUUUAACCGUUGGUUUUCAUCUUUCCCGCCCAUCUUCCUCCCAACUCAUAGAGAAGCGGUAAGGAACUCAACGUCACCAAAAUGCGGAAACCACCAUUUUUAUUUACCAAAAUUCCAUUCCCCGCUCUAUUUCUCCUCCUCGUCUUCUCCUUAACCUUUCAAGUAAUUUCCCAAAAUCUAGAUGCUGAACGAUCAAUCCUACUAGACGUUAAACAACAACUGGGCAAUCCACCGUCACUCCAAUCGUGGAAUUCCUCAUCCUCGCCCUGUGAUUGGUCGGAAAUUACAUGCAUCGACAAUAUCGUCACUGAAAUUUCACUCAGCUACAAGACCAUCACAAAGAAAAUUCCAGCCAGAAUUUGUGACCUCAAGAACCUAAUCGUACUUGACGUCUCCUACAAUUACAUUCCAGGCGAGUUCCCGGAUAUUCUCAAUUGCUCUAAGCUCGAAUAUCUCCUCUUGUUGCAAAACUCCUUCGUGGGUCCAAUUCCAGCUGAUAUUGAUCGACUUUCACGUCUCCGGUACCUAGACCUCACCGCAAACAACUUCUCUGGAGAUAUUCCCGCAGCAAUUGGGCGGCUACGGGAGCUGUUCUACUUGUUUAUGGUUCAAAAUGAGUUCAACGGCACCUGGCCAACAGAGAUUGGUAAUUUGGCAAAUCUUGAACAAUUGGCCAUGGCCUAUAAUGACAAAUUCCGGCCUUCAGCCCUUCCAAAGGAGUUUGGCGCAUUGAAGAAGCUGAAAUUUCUGUGGAUGACGGAGGCGAAUUUGAUCGGCGAAAUACCGAAGAGCUUCAACAAUCUAUCGAGUCUGGAACGCUUGGACCUCUCACUCAACGAAUUGAAUGGUACGAUCCCGGUAGGCAUGCUUACGUUGAAGAAUUUGACCUAUUUGUAUUUAUUCUGUAAUAGAUUGUCAGGCCGCGUUCCUUCAUCGAUAGAAGCUUUCAACUUGAAAGAAAUUGAUCUUUCCGACAACCAUUUGACGGGGCCGAUACCAGCAGGUUUCGUGAAGCUACAAAAUUUGACAUGUUUGAAUCUUUUUUGGAAUCAGUUGUCAGGAGAGAUACCAGCAAAUAUAAGCCUCAUUCCUACACUUGAAACCUUCAAAGUUUUUAGCAAUAAAUUGAGUGGAGUUUUGCCCCCAGCAUUUGGCCUUCAUUCGGAGCUCAAAUUCUUUGAGAUUUUUGAGAAUAAACUAAGCGGGGAACUACCGCAACAUUUAUGCGCUAGGGGAACUUUGCUUGGAGUGAUUGCUUCCAACAAUAAUCUCAGCGGAGAAGUGCCCAAGUCCCUCGGGAAUUGCAGAAGUUUGCUCACCAUUCAGGUUUCCAACAAUCGCUUUUCAGGCGAGAUUCCUUCUGGCAUCUGGACAUCCCCGGGCAUGGUAUCGGUGAUGUUAGCUGGAAAUUCAUUCUCGGGGGCACUUCCAAGUAGAUUGGCAAGGAAUUUGUCCAGAGUGGAUAUCAGUAACAACAAGUUUUCUGGUCCAAUUCCUACUGAAAUCUCUUCUUGGAUGAAAAUAGGUGUUCUUAAUGCCAACAACAAUAUGUUGUCAGGAAAAAUUCCAGUGGAAUUGACCAGUCUUUGGAACAUCUCUGUUCUGUUGCUUGAUGGGAAUCAAUUCUCGGGUGAACUUCCAUCCCAGAUCAUCUCAUGGAAGUCACUCACUAAUUUGAAUCUCUCAAGAAACAAACUGUCAGGCCUAAUUCCCAAGGCAUUAGGUUCUUUACCUAGCCUUACUUACCUCGACCUGUCAGAAAACCAGUUCUUAGGUCAAAUUCCUUCUGAACUCGGUCAUUUGAAGCUUAAUAUCCUCAAUCUUUCGUCCAACCAACUCUCUGGGUUGGUCCCCUUUGAGUUUCAAAAUGCAGCAUACAAUUACAGUUUCUUGAACAAUCCCAAACUGUGUGUCAAUGUUCCCACUCUGAACCUCCCUAGAUGUGAUGCCAAACCCGUUGACUCCUACAAAUUGUCAACCAAAUAUCUUGUUAUGAUCCUAAUUUUCGCUCUAUCUGGUUUCCUAGCUGUUGCCUUCUUUACCCUGUUCAUGGUUCGACACUAUCACAGGAAGAAUCAUAGUCGAGACCAAACAAAUUGGAAGCUUACUCCAUUCCAAAAUCUGGAUUUCGAUGAACAGAACAUAUUGUUCGGUUUGACAGAAAAUAAUUUGAUCGGACGUGGUGGGUCAGGGAAAGUAUACCGAAUUGCUAAUGACCGUUCUGGUGAAAUCUUUGCUGUUAAAAUGAUUUGUAACAACGGGAGAUUGGAUCACAAGCUUCAGAAACCAUUCAUAGCAAAAGACGAGAUAUUGGGCACCUUACACCAUUCCAAUAUAGUGAAGUUGUUGUGCUGCAUAUCAAAUGAAACCACAAGUCUUCUUGUUUAUGAGUACAUGGAGAACCAAAGUUUGGAUAGAUGGCUUCAUGGGAAGAAGCAGAGAACAUCGUCCAUGACAAGUUCAGUUCAUAACUUCGUCUUGGAUUGGCCAACAAGGUUGCAGAUUGCCAUCGGAGCUGCAAAAGGCCUACGCCACAUGCAUGAAUACUGUUCUGCCCCGAUCAUACAUCGAGAUGUAAAGUCCAGCAACAUCUUACUAGACGCUGAGUUCAACGCGAAAAUUGCAGAUUUUGGAUUAGCCAAGAUGUUGGUCAAGCAAGGAGAGCCUGACACCAUGUCAGGAGUUGCAGGCUCUUACGGAUAUAUUGCCCCCGGUAAGACUAUCCAAGGCCUUCCUGUCCACAUGUUCUCAUUUCCAUAAUUUAUCGAUAAUUUUUAUCAAAUAAUUCUUGUAUGCUUGGAUGACAGAGUAUGCUUAUACAACAAAGGUGAACGAGAAGAUUGAUGUAUAUAGCUUUGGAGUAGUUCUGCUUGAGCUGGUGACGGGGAGAGAACCCAACAGCGAGCACAUGUGCCUUGUAGAAUGGGCAUGGGAUCAGUUUAGAGAAGGGAAAACCAUUGAGGAAGUGGUGGAUGAGGAGAUCAAGGAACAAUGUAACAGAGCACAAGUGACCACUCUCUUCAAUCUAGGCCUCAUGUGCACUACCACAUUACCAUCCACUAGGCCAACAAUGAAGGAGGUUUUGGAAAUUCUUCGACAGUGCAAUCCUCAGAAGGACCAUGGAAGAAAGAAAAAGGACCAUGAAGCUGCACUCGAACAUACAUCGAGAUGUAAAGUCCAGCAACAUCUUACUAGACGUUGAGUUCAACGCGAAAAUUGCAGAUUUUGGAUUAGCCAAGAUGUUGGUCAAGCAAGGAGAGCCGGACACUAUGUCAGGAGUUGAAGGCUCUUAUGGAUAUAUUGGCCCCGGUAAGACCAUCCAAGGCUUUUCUGUCCACAUGUUCUCAUUUCCAUAAUUUAUUGAUAAUUUUUAUCAAAUAAUUCUCGUAUGCUUGGAUGACAGAGUAUGCUUAUACAACAAAGGUGAAGGAGAAGAUCGAUGUAUAUAGCUUUAGAGUAGUUCUUCUUGAGCUGGUGACGAGGAGAGAACCCAAUAGCGAGCACAUGUGCCUUGUAGAAUGGGCAUGGGAUCAGUUUAGAGAAGGGAAAACCAUUGAGGAAGUGGUGGAUGAGGAGAUCAAGGAACAAUGUGACAAAGCACAAGUGACCACUCUCUUCAAUCUAGGCCUCAUGUGUAUUACCACAUUACCAUCCACUAGGCCAACAAUGAAGGAGGUUUUGGAAAUUCUUCGACAGUGUAGUCCUCAUGAGGACCAUGGAAGAAAGAAAAAGGACCAUGAAGCUGCACCCGAACAUACAUUGAGAUGUAAAGUCCAGCAACAUCUUACUAGACGCUGAGUUCAGCGCGAAAAUUGUAGAUUUUGGAUUAGCCAAGAUGUUGGUCAAGCAAGGAGAGUCGGACACCAUGUCAGGAGUUGAAGGCUCUUACGGAUAUAUUGCCCCCGGUAAGACCAUCCAAGGCCUUCCUGUCCACAUGUUCUCAUUUCCAUAAUUUAUCGAUAAUUUUUAUCAAAUAAUUCUCGUAUGCUUGGAUGACAGAGUAUGCUUAUACAACAAAGGUGAACGAGAAUAUCGAUGUAUAUAGCUUUGGAGUAGUUCUGCUAGAGCUGGUGAUGGGGAGAGAACCCAACAACGAGCACAUGUGCCUUGUAGAAUGGGCAUGAGAUCAGUUUAGAGAAGAGAAAACCAUUGAGGAAGUGGUGGAUGAGGAGAUCAAGGAACAAUGUGACAAAGCACAAGUGACCACUCUCUUCAAUCUAGGCCUCAUGUGCACUACCACAUUACCAUCCACUAGGCCAACAAUGAAGGAGGUUUUGGAAAUUCUUCGAUAGUGCAGUCCUUAGGAGGACCAUGGAAGAAAGAAAAAGGACCAUGAAGCUGCACCCGAUCAUACAUCGAGAUGUAAAGUCCAGCAACAACUUACUAGACGCUGAGUUCAGCGCGAAAAUGGUAGAUUUUGGAUUAGCCAAGAUGUUGGUCAAGAAAGGAGAGCCUGACACCAUGUCAGGAGUUGAAGGCUCUUACGGAUAUAUUGCCCCCGGUAAGACCAUCCAAGGCCUUCCUGUCCACAUGUUCUCAUUUCCAUAAUUUAUCGAUAAUUUUUAUCAAAUAAUUCUCGUAUGCUUGGAUUACAGAGUAUGCUUAUACAACAAAGGUGAACAAUAAGAUCGAUGUAUAUAGCUUUGGAGUAGUUCUGCUUGAGCUGGUGACGAGGAGAGAACCUAAUAGCGAGCACAUGUGCCUUGUAGAAUGGGCAUGAGAUUAAUUUAGAGAAGGGAAAACCAUUGAGGAAGUGGUGGAUGAGGAGAUUAAGGAACAAUGUGACAGAGCAUAAGUGACCACUCUCUUUAAUCUAGGCCUCAUGUGCACUACCACAUUACCAUCCACUAGGCCAACAAUGAAGGAGGUUUUGGAAAUUCUUCGACAGUGCAGUCCUCAUGAGGACCAUGGAAGAAAGAAAAAGGACCAUGAAGCUGCACCUGAACAUACAUCGAGAUGUAAAGUCCAGCAACAUCUUACUAGACGCUGAGUUCAACGCGAAAAUUGUAGAUUUUGGAUUACCCAAGAUGUUGGUCAAGCAAGGAGAGCCCGAUACCAUGUCAGGAGUUGCAGGCUCUUACAGAUAUAUUGCCCCCGGUAAGACCAUCCAAGGCCUUCCUGUCCACAUGUUGUCAUUUCCAUAAUUUAUCGAUAAUUUUUAUCAAAUGAUUCUCGUAUGCUUGGAUGACAGAGUAUGCUUAUACACCAAAGGUGAAGGAGAAGACCGAUGUAUAUAGCUUUGGAGUAGUUCUUCUUGAGCUGGUGACGGGGAGAGAACCUAACAGCGAGCACAUGUGCCUUGUAGAAUGGGCAUGGGAUCAGUUUAGAGAAGGGAAAACCAUUGAGGAAGUGGUGGAUGAGGAGAUCAAAGAACAAUGUGACAGAGCACAAGUGACCACUUUCUUCAAUCUAGGCCUCAUGUGCACUACCACAUUACCAUCCACUAGGCCAACAAUGAAGGAGGUUUUGGAAAUUCUUCGACUGUGCAGUCCUCAGGAGGACCAUGGAAGAAAGAAAAAAGACCAUGAAGCUGCACCCCUGCUUCUAAAUGGCACUUAACCUGCCACUUUCAAGCAUAACGACAAGGGAUUUCUAUUUUUCUGUCAUUACUAUAGUGGGAUUUCAAAGAAAUGGGCUUCAUUUUUUAAACUUCUUAUUACCAGCAGGAGUCCCACUACCGUUAGCACCUUUGUUAGUAGUUCUUGAGCUAAUCCCUCAUUGUUUUCAUGCAUUAAACUUAGGAAUGCAUUUAUUUGCUAAUAUGAUGGCCGGUCAUACUUCAGUAAAGAUUUUAAGUGGGCUUGUGUCACGCCCAAAAUCUAGGUAACCCAAAACUCGACUCGUGACCUCAGGUCAAAAGUUUGACCCUAAGAGUUACUCCUAUCCACGUUGGCAAUCAACCAAAAUAUCCUGAUUUUUUUUUUCUAUUUUUCAAUAAAGUGUUUAAUCCCAAAUAAAUUUAUUAAGUUAAGAUUUACUGUAACAUAUUAUUUUAUUUUUCCAAAACCAACUAUCACACUAUCUCCUGUUCACAAGUAUAAUAAAUCCACCAAUAAUCUUUCUACCCAAAAACUCAAAUAUUUAUAAUAAUCUCCAAGUCAAAAAGAAUAUUUCCAAAAAUGUUUUACAAACUAACAAAAUAUAAUUUAAUUUACAAAAGUCCAUAUAACUCAAAUUAACACAUGUCAAAAAGGUAAUAUACAUCUAAAAACAACCAUUAUUAUGGUUCUUUUGCUUUCUGGAACACUUCCUAAUCUUCCUGUGGCCCCUCAAAAACUAUAUUGACAUCUAAAAAUUUUAGAAAAUAAAAGAGUGAGCAUUUUCACGUUGCUUAGUAGGGUGUUUUACACCCAAAUGAGUUACACAUUCUAGGUCAAUAAAACACAACUAUAUACCAAAAUAUAAUGUUACAUUUACAUUAUACACACUAAAAGAAACCUCAACUAUACAAAUUUAAACUAAUCAAAAUUAUCAUUUUUCUUAUUCAAUAAUAUGCCUAACAUAUCAAUAAUUCUAAAUUUACAAAAUAAAUAAGCCAUUUUAGUCUUGAAUAAUAUAUUCAAACAUACACUUGAUAAAUAAUACAAAUCCUUCUUCCAAAUGCAACCAUGAUGCAAAUGUUUACACGCAAUCACGCAAUACACUAUCAUUCUCGAGCUUUCACCGAAAGAUACGCGUCCAUACCCAAAUACACUCUCCAUUUAGAAUUAUCUCGGGGUAAACUUUUGGGUCUUUCACCUUAAGGAUCUCACUCUCUUCUUAAUUCACCAUCUCUAGGGUCAUUCCAUUUCUUAUUUUUCUUUUCAUUUCAUUUUUGCCAUCUUCGGGGUCUUUUCAUUCUCAUUUCCCUUUCACACAACGAUUUAAUUUCUUUAAUUUUUCUUUUUCUUCACACAACCAUGAUGCAUAUGAAAUGCAAUCAAAUCAUAUUUUAACAUCCACAAAUUUCCAAAACAUAAUUCUAUUUACUCCCAUUAUGUUUCAUAAUUUCCAACAAUUCACACAACGAUUUUUCUCCACUUUAAUCACCACAAACGUCAAAGAAAAUUCAUAAUUAAUUUAUAUAGUAUCAAAACAUAGUUUUAGACCUUAGCCACAUAAAUUCUAUUUAUUCUCGACAUGCUUAAUAAUUUCCAACAACCAAUAUAACCAUUUUUUUUCUUCAAUUAAAUAACCACAUAUAACCAAGAAAAUUCCCACUAAUACAAAUAUCAACAAAAAAGUAAUUUAUGUCAUAAUUUAUUUAUCUUCAAUAAUCUCAAUAAUUUUAACACUCAAUACAACAAUUUUCCACAACUAAGCCACCACAACAUUCAGAAUUUUUUUUUCAAUAAUUCAAAUAUUAACAAAAUCCCAAUUUAUACCAUCAAUUUAUUUAUUUCUAACAAUAUUAAUAAUUUUAAAACAAUAAAUUUAACCAUAUCUCAAUAUUAAAAAAUUUCAACAAAUAAAUUCCAUUAUUUUCAACACUAAUAUAUCAUCAAUAAAUUUAUAAAAUUUCUAAUAUGAUAAAAAUCACAAAAAUAUAUUAACCAAUGUUCCAAAUAAACAAAGUUCCAUAACCACAAAAAUCCGGUAAAUUCUAUCAUAAGGACAACAAUUAAAUACCAACAAUUCUAAUAUUUUUAUCUUGCAUUAAACUUUUAUCCACUUUCCAUUUAACAUUUUCAAAGCAAAACCAAAUCAUUUCAUAUAUUUAGAGUUUUCAAAAAAUAAUCUAAAUGAAAACUAUAUGACGAUCUACUAUAACUCAACAACUCACCGAUUUUCAUAGAGUUUUUUGAAAGUAAAUAAAAGCAAAAUGAAAUGCCCUAAAAAUUUUGAGAGAGAAAUUUAGGAAAAACACAUCCCUACCUGUACAAUAAAAUCCAACCGUGGGAUCGAAAAUCCGACUCUGUAGAAGUGUUCACCACGUUAAAGAUUAUCAUUGUUUGAAAUUUCAUCAUGAUCAAAGGUCGUUUCACCAUCGGAUCAACAAAAACACACGAUAAAAAACCUUCUCAGCAUCUCCCCUGCAUCCCCCUUUCCCCUCAUUUCUUUCUUUUAAACCUCUCACCACCCAGCAACUCUCCAGCAACUUCAUAAUAUAUAUAUAUAUAUAUACACAUAUAUAUUAUUAAACAAUUUUGAAAUACCACACACAUCCUUUUAUUUUAAUAAAAUAAAUUAUUACUCUUUAUUUCACAUUUCAUAAUUAUAAAAUUAUACUUAACCUGUGAUUUUCCAUUUUACAAAAAAUUCCACCUUAUUCGUAAUUAAAUUUACUACAAGCUUGCUCUUCAAAAAUAUAAAUUAACUUUAAUUAUCCAAAACAUUUUUACUUUGAAAUUCACUUAAAAUAUGAUAUAAUUAACUAUUAACAAAAUUCAAUUUCAUAAAAUAUUAGAAACAUAAAAUAAUUUUUUGGCAACCAAAAAGUUGAAAUAUUUCGUCAUUCAAUUUAUAAAAAAAAAAAAAUCAACUUCUCAGCCCUUUGAUAUAUUUUUUUCAUUUAUUUUAUUAGUCAAUUUUCUCAAUUGCAUCAAACUUUCAAAUGUUAAUUUCACUAAAUUCACAUUUAAUUAAUUUAUCACUAUAUACAUAUAUAUAUAUAUUGAUUAACAUAUCAUAAUUUAAUAUUAAUUUAAUUUCAAUUUAAUUUUGUUUUGAUGUUUUGUAAUUCUAUAAAGUUUAAUUAUAAUUAUAAAAAUUAAAUUCAAUUUCUUUUUAAUUAUCCAUCAUAAUAAUUCGAUAUAAUAUAAAUUUUUACCAAGUUUUUCUUCCUACAUUUCUUUGAUAAUUACCAAAUAAUAAUUAAAUUAAUCCCGUAAUGCACUUAAUAAUUAAAUUUUCAAAACCUAAUCUCAAUUAUUUGUGAUUAAAUUUUUUUCUCCAAAUCAAAAUUUAAUUUAUGAAAUUCCCUAUUCUUACAUCUUACGUGAUAAAAUUUUCAAAUUAUUAAUUUUUAAUAUACUUUUCUAAAAUCUCUCUUAAUUAGAUACUAACACAUGGGUCCUCACCAUUUUUCUUUUUUACCAUUUGACCCACAAUUAUAUGAAACUUUAUAGUCCAAGAAUUUGACGUGCCCUUAAAAAUCCAGGUAUUAGAGUUUGCUCGGACUAUGCUAUGUAUGAAUGAUCUUUUAUGUUUCAUAGGAUCCUCGUCCCUUUUUUUUUUUUUUUAUAGUUCUUGCAUUAACCUGUCCGGAAGUAGGUGUAGCUAUGUCACAAGCUCAACAAAGAUGACGAUAUCUUGGUUUGAAAUUUGCAGCUUGUACAUAAGUCUCAUAAGGAAGCUUGUAAAUUAAGCCAAUGGCUGGGUUCCCUAGCAAAAUGCACGAUGGAAGCUUUAAUUUUAAUUUUUUUUUUUUCGAUUAUUGAGAGUUGGUAACUUAGUACAAGCAGCUGGGAUUGAGAGCUGUUUAUUUUUAAUAUGUGAAACAGAAAUCCAGUUGCAGUAAUGAAUUGAAGUUUUUUUUUUUUUUUUAAUUUUGUUUUUUGUUUGGUUAAUUUGGAGGUUUGUGGGUUGGUUGGUUAUCUAUCAGAAGCCGAACCGUUGAUCUUAAAUUAUGUUUUUAUUUUUCUGAAAUUCUGGGAAUAUCUACAAUUGAUGUGGUUUUUUUUUUCUCUUUUCUUUUUUAAUGCUUGGUGCUGCUGGGUUUGCGUUUUUUUACGGAUGUUUGGGUGGGCAAUAUUGAAAUUCGUGGGAUUAUUUUGAGAAAUUUAGUUUUUUGGUUGAGGAAUUUUUGCUUCUGAAACAACAAGCAUUCGUGUACGGUUUGACCGCUUGAAUUCCCAAUCUUGGGUCUGUGCUUCUCCAGAAAAACCUGUUCAAAUUAUUAAUGGGUUUUAUUUUAUUUUAUGAUUUAAUUUUUUGAAAAUCUUAAAUUAGGUGGAAAGAUCCAUCCCGUACAAUGAGCAUAGGCCAAGGAGGCCCCCACCAGACUUGUCUUUCCUGCUUGUCCAUGGGAGAAUAGUUUACAUCGGCAUGCCAGUAAGUAGUUAAACACAGUAUCUCUAUAUGGAUAUAAUUCUUUUAGGUGGAUAUCAAAACAAUAAGGAAUGGAUUAAGAUAUUCUUGAUGACAAAUAUGAUGCAUAUUUUUCUCCCUUUGGACAGAAUUUAUGCAAUUAUCUGUAAAUUCAACUUAUUUCCUGUUGUUGGGAUGACGAAUCUUGAAUUAGUUGUAAAAUUUAGUGAGAAGAUGUCUCAUCUUGGCCUUGAAGUUUAGUUGCUUACCUGUGGAGAGAAGGAAAUGGAGAAAGCCAUCAAUUUGCAUUAUUUUUCUAGAUCUCUAGUGGACUUGACAAGAACAUCUUGCUUUGGAUUGUGAAGAAGUUAACUAGCUUUCUAUCCCAGUAGCUUAUAUCAAUCAUCUCACAGGAGUGAAGAAACUGAAGCAUAAUGUUUCCUGUAUGGAUUUUCUUCCUUUUCUUCAAGCAUGUGGAUAAUAUAGGGUAAUUUCUGCUUCCCACUUGAUUCAUCACUUGAUUAAAGGAAAAGGACUUUGAAUUCCCAUAGGAACGUCCCUCAUUUACAUGUCUCUAAUUCAUUGCAAAAACUUGGGAGCUUGGGUCAUGAAAUUAUAUAACUAGAGAAAGUAAAGACAAUAGGAUUGGAAAAAUUUAGUAGCAUAGGCUUUUUAAAUAUGAAAAUUGAUACCAUUUUAUAUAAAUAGUGAACAAAAGAUAUACCCCUGGUUGACUCUACCUGAACUAGAGUCUUUUGACGUGAUGAGAUGUGCCCCAUGAACAAGUACCAUGUUAUCUAUUGUAUGGUAUAAAAGUUCCAUAUGGUGGUUUUUACAAGAAUGUUGUAUUGAUUUCUAAUUUUGAGUAACUCUCUAAGUCAAAAUGUCUAAGAAAACAAAAGGGAAAGAAUAUUUUACCAUAGUGGGCUAUUUGAACCAGUGAGAGGAAGCGAAAAUUGAAAAUAAUAUUGACACAAAUUAUGACGAGGGUGGUAGUCUUUACUUUGCCUUUGCAGGUAGUCUUUAUAAACAAAUUCCUCAUUAUUACUUCUUUUUUCUCUAGUUAAUAGUACGCUUAAUUUGCUUCCUUUGCCUUUGUGCUAACACUUCAUCAUUCCAUCUUAUGAUAACAACUUCCUUUAAUUUUAAAGCUAUUUACUACUGCUUUAGCCUCUACCUUCCAGUGAAGCUUCUCAAACAAAAAGUGGCAAGAACAUGUCAUGAAAGCUUUUAUUCCCAAAGAGAAGACCUAAAUGGAAAUAAGAGAAUUAUGCCCUUCUGCUGAGGGUUGGACAUCUUUAUUUAUGAGAAAAACCCAGAGUUUUAGUAUAAAAUCAUAUUCCUUCUGGACUCCUUUAAGUGGGUCUAUUUGUGAGUUUCAUCUUUCUGGAACUUAUAUUUCCUAGAGUCCUAGUCUUCCCUUCUAAUAGUGGUAUGAUAUGACUACUUGGGCCAUUGUGGUUCUAGGUUGUACCCUACUGAUGAAUAUCCCUUUUAGGUGUUGUAGAACAAUUUAAAAAUUCUCCAACAAAGAUUACCUAACCUUAGACUAUCUCAAUGUCAAGAAACUUUUCUUCCAAUAAUUUUUCAACAAAGCAUAAUAUCCACAAGCAAGAAUGUAUACAUCAACACUCUCCCAAUAAUUUAUCAAUGCAAAAUACAUGCAAAUGCUUCAACACUUCUCAAAAAUAAAUCAAAAGAACAAUCAUCUCCUCAACUCAUAACAAUUGACUCCAUGAUAUCAUUAAACAAAGUGAACAGAAGAAUUAUUAAAGACAUUCAAUAGAUCAUCACACUUAAAUCACUUCAUAUUUCUUCCAUUCAACAAGUAUGCCCAAGUAAUCAAUGAUAUCAAAAACAGAAAAUAAAUCAAAGUGUAGAGUGAGAGAAAAAGACAAUGAACACUGAAUUUUUAACGUGGAAAACCUCCGAAUAGAUCAAAAACCAUGGGCCUAUCACCGAUUGAAAAACUCCACUAUGAAGACUAAAAACUGAGUACAAGGUUUUAUCUAGCUCAAGCCAACCAAUCCUUCCCGGACUACUUGACUAGUACCUUCAUUUUCAGCUUCUCACCUUCUUCUUUCGGAGCACACUUGGAGUUCACACGAAGCUCAAUCCCGGCCUCUUCUUGAAUCCACAUAAGAAGAAAAUGGGUAUGUACCUAAACCCAAAUAGAUAAGAGAUUGAAAUGUGAAUGAAGGAAUGAAUCAACCGAUUUAUUGCUUAAGAAAAUCCAUUAAAAACUAGUUUGGAAAACAUUAAAAGAAGUGGAUUUUCUUUGAAAUCAAAAACCCCAAAUUAGGAAAACAAAAUGAGAAAAUGAAGAACACAAGGAGUGUGGCUACUCUCUCCACGUUUUCUGCAGUCACCACCUAGAAAAAUGAGAGAAGAUUGCUUUUUAAAGUGUAAAAAGAAACCCUUAAUCUAAUGACUGAGAUUUGAUAUAUAAAAAAUUAGUUGGAUCGAUCCACCCUUGCACCUAGAUCGAUCCAGAAACAGGGGAAUGAAAGCCUUGCACCAAAAACCAUUUCUUUCAACUUUCUAACACAUUUAAAUAUUAAAAAUCGGGUUGAUUCACAUCUAAUGACCACACACUUGGUUACAUACCUUGGCCUCUUAGCAAAGUUUUAGUUGUCAAAGUCAAGUAGUUUGAAUAGGAAUUGGAAAGCCGAGUUAGGGGACACUUAGGAAUUUUGUCCGGAAUUGUCAACCUAGUUUAACACUCACAAUGUGCAUCAUGUGAUUCAUAAUCUUCAUUAGCUAGCUCCUUCAUGGUUAAUGAAUCCUUCGUCUCAAGCUCCUUUCAACACACAAUCGGGCUGCUCGAUCCUUUAUUAAGCAGAAUUCAAUUUGAAUCAACAUUUCUUCGUCGACUGCAUCUGCCAUUUUGUCAUUUUCUACACACUGGAAAGCUGGAGUUCUGAUAUGCUUUUCACUUUCUGAUGGACUGGUUUCCAAUGAUGAAGAUGGAGAGCCAAAACCCUGCAGUCUUUUCUAAUCUAAAGACAUGCUCUAUGCAUGUCAAUUUCAAUGAGUCACCAAAUGCUCGAUGAUCCGUCGGAUUGCUUUCCUCUUAUUCUUAUAUUACCAGACUAAAUCCUAUACAAACCUUAACCACAAGUUUUCCCACUCCUGAAUGUAAGCUCCAGAUCAUCCAGAAGAUGAUUUAACUCUUGCACAGUUCAGGAUAGAUCAGUGACCGCUUCAACAAGGCCUCCCGCUUAGAAGUCUCCCCAUCCAAGUUCCCGAAACUAUGCAAAUUGCUGAUAUCUUCCUGUAAGCCUAGUUAUAUGAACCUUACUCAAUAGGCCAAGCAAGACUUUGGAGAGCGAAAAUCCAUUGUGGAAGCCUUGGAUGAGGAGAUCAUGGAAGAAAUGAGCAUUGUGUUCAAACUAGGCCUCAUGUGUACUAGCAAAGCACCUUCUGACAGGCCUUCCAUGAGGAGGUAUUGCUAAUUCUUGAUGGAUGUGGUCCUCAGCAUGGUCAUGCUACAUUACAAACGAUCCCACCACUUUUCAUGAAGUUAAAUGUAGUUAUUUAGAAGGUGUGCGUUGUAGAAAUGUAGAUACCAAGCAACCAAUUCUACCUCUCUUGAUAUUGUCUAGCUAACUAUUGAGCUCAUCUCUGGUAAAUGGGAAUGAACAGGAAUCAACGUCUCAUUUCUUUUCUCCUACGAGAAUUGAAACAAAAAUGAAUAUAAUGAAAAUGAAAUCUCAUUUAUAAAUGGGAUUUAAAUUCAUUCGAAGGUAUUUUGAUUCCCUUAUUUUUAUAAAUAUUUUUCAAAUGUUAAAAAGUUAAAGACUUUUUUAGAUAAGCUGAUUUUAAAAAUAAUUGGUUUUGUAAAAAACACAAAUUAUAAAUUUAAUUUAUAUAAUGUUAACUAAAUUUAAUUCACAUCUUAUUAAAAGUACAAAUAAAUUAGAAAUCAAUAGUUUUUAAUAAAAUAUAAAAAUAAAAUAAUAAAUUAUAUAUUUUGAUAAAUAUUAUAAAUAUAUAGAUAUUAACAUUAAUUGAUUUAUUUUGUUAAAAAUAAAGAAUAAUUAUUCAAAAUUAAUAAUUGCUAAUAUUAUUCUAUCUUAAAUAAAAAAAAAAAGAGUUAAUUUUUUAAGUUAUAAAUAAGUCAUUUUUUCAUAAUAUACAUAUGUUUAUUAGUCAAUUACAAAGAUGACAUUUUGAAAUAUUUUAUUUAAUCUAUAAUUAAUUAAUCAGUUUUUUUAAUUUCAAAUUAUUCUUAACAAUUACAAGAUUUAUUAAAGAAUUUAAAGCAUUAAUUAUAUCUAUUAUUUUUUAUAGUCGUUACAUUUUUUUGAGUUUUAAAUUAUUUUCUAAAAUUUUUAAACUUAUUAAUAAGUUCAAUACAAAGUUUGGUUUGGUUUGAAAUUCAUUUUCUCUAAUACAAAAAAUCGAAAGAAUAGUUAUCUAUUUUUACUUUGUUUUUAAAAAUUAUUUCUAAAGAGCAAUAACUAAAUAGUGGUAUAAAUUUUUGAAAGAAUUUUUUUUUUUUAAUUACACGUCCAAAUAGGUUUUUAUUAUUUAGCUAAAAAAAAAAAACUCUCAAGGGUUUUUUAAAUGAAAAUAAAAAACUAUUUCAAACUAUGUACAAUGUGAGUUUUUUAAAAUAAAAAUAAAAUGAAAAAUAUUUUAAAUCAUGUGUACAAAUAUUAUUAACAAUUUAUUUAUUUGUUUAUUUUUAUUCUCAUUUUUACUCAAAAUUGAAAUGGAAAUAAAUCAUCGUUCCAAUCUUAUAUUCCUAUAUGCAUCCAAACGUGAGAAUUAGAAUUACCAAAUUCAUUUUUAUUCAAGUAAGAAUAAGAAUAAAACAAAAUAUUUUUCCUCAUUCUUCAUUCCCACAUACUGAUCGCUUGAUUUUUCGUCGUUUAUUGGAUCAAAACAAAAUUUAUAACAUAAUUCACUAUUCUAGAGUAGCUUGUACCCAAUCAAAAAGUGGUUUUAGUACAAACUACUGUAGUAUAGUGGUUUUUAGGUGUCAUCCACUAGGAUGGAUUAUUCUUGGUAAUUAAGGCUUGAAUGAGAUGAUAAGAAAUGAUUGUGAUCGAGUGAAAUUGAUUUAAAAAUUCAUAGUGAAAAAUCAAUGUAACAAUGGUCUCAAAUUGAGAAGAAAAAUGAAAUACAAAAUAGAAGAAAAUUAAUAGAAAAUGAAAUUAUUGGAAUUAAGAUUUUCUAGAAAACAAUUUCCAUGGUGAAUAGAUGUUGAGAUCUAAUUUUCAUCAAGUUAGAUUAAAAACCUAAAUUUUCAUUCAAAUCGAUUUUUUAUUUAGCUUUAGAUCUAGAUUUAAUUUCUCUUCAAAUUAGGUCAUUUGAUCUAAGAGAUCAUUUCAAAUCAUAUAUUCAAUUCAUCUUAAAUUAUCUUCCAAUUAUUCACAUAAUGCAACUAUUCAAUCUCAUCAAAUCUAACUUUAAGAAUUUAAUGAAUCUAUGUAGUUUGCAUUGUAGAAGUCAUCCAAGACAAUUUGAAGAGAAAAAUUCUCAAAAUUCAAUUAAUUAAUCAAUUGGAUCAAAUUACCUUUGCAAUUCAAGCUCAUUUCUCUAAUUCACCAUAGAUUUUGCCUCUAAAUCCUCCUUCCUCCGAGAAAAAUGAGAUUUAGUCACUCAUGCUUGGAUAUUUGGUCUCACAAGGCAUGUUUGGCUAGCGAGAAAAUGAGAGAAAAUGAAGGAAAGUAGAUAAUUGUCUAGAGAGAGGAAAUCUGAAAAAUUCUACAAUUAGAAAUGUCUAAAAAGUUCUUUAAAUGAGAAAAUCAAGUUUCUAUUUAUAAGUCAAGGUCAAUUGGACACUUGGCAUUAUCUAAGAGGUCUUCCGGAGGUUUUUUCACUAAGAAAUCUGGAGUUUAGUAAUAAAAUGGUCAUUUCGCGCAAGAUCUAGCAAUUUCUCAUGAUUGUGCGAAAUAAAAAAAAUGCAAUAGCACCAAUUUUCGCAUGGUCAUGCGAAAUCAGCUUUGAGAUUUCCCUUUGAUUUGAAACAAAAAAAUGUCUUUUGGUUCAUUUCGCAUGACUAUAUAAAAUUUUUGCAUGAUCAUGCCAAAUGCAAAUACAUAAUUUUUCGCUCCUUUUUAUCAUUUCUUCCAUUUCUUUCUUUUGAAUCCACCUCAAUCACCUCCAAAUCCCGGUCUAAACCAAUUGCAUUACUUCUUUCAUUAUGCAUUUGGAUCUUCAUCAACUUUCUUUGUUCUCUUCAAUUUGAUUCAUCUCUUUUGUCACCAAUUUAUCAAAAUCAUACCUUGAAAUAACUCCAAAACUUCAUAAAACUUAUUAGUAACUCUUGCAAGGACAACAUGUUAAUCGAGUGUUUUAGGCAUAAUUACUACUUAAAAGAUAUGAAACUCAUGAGAAUUAUUAUUUGAAAUAUGCUCUUUUUGAGUAGUAAUCACAUACCAAACACACCUUAGCUUUCAUGGAUCCCCCAUCUAACAAUUACAUAUUUUACUUUAUCUAUUACCAUUUUUCCUAUUGAAAAUUCUCUCUUGUUUACCUAAUCAUUUUUUUCAUAAUUUCAUUUAUUACCUAUGUGUAGGCACCCCUCCACAUGUCAUCACACGUGUCACUUCGAACCAAGCACUGACCGGAUAAAGGGAAAGCAUUGCCUAGGUUCUUCCGUCCAGACCACAAUCAACCCAUCUAGGCAUAGACAGGAAGGCCCUUUCCCUACAUAGUUAGACAGCAGGCACGAUUGGAAUCCCUGAAUGGACGAAACCACUCGAUCAACAUUCAAGGCCCAUUGACCUACGCAAUCAUUCAUAUCUGGCAGGGGAAUGACUGAUGAGACCUCCCUCUACUCUCAAGUCGAUGUUAAUUAAUUACCGCACACAACCCCACACCUCCAACAGGUUAAAGGGACAAGAACUGCCUGAUCAAACAUCAUGCCAUAUCUUCUGAUGGCAUGUGCCAGUCGCCUGAAGCUGUAAUAAUUGCCCUGCCACUUGAAAAUAGUCAUCAUUACAAAGAAUGUUCAGUCAACACUACAAUGGCUUUCUCCUAAGCACUAUAAAAACCCUCCUAAAAGCACAAACAAAGUACGCAGGCACAAGAGCAAGCCUAUUCACUCUCUCUUUUGAGGAGCCUAACCUAUCUUUGUCUGACUUAAGUUUUAGAGGGGCAUGCCUGGACAACUUGUCCAAACAUCCUUUGUGCAAGAAAAAAACUCACCUAGUUUCCCCCAUUGCUAGGUAGAAGCUUUGAGAGGCACAACAUAAGGAGGAUUUGACUCCAGUUGGCCUUACAUCAACACUAUGCAUUUUCAAUGUUCAUAUAUUUUAGGGAUGUACCAUUUGAUAUAUUCAUGUGGGUUAAAGCAUGCAUUUUCUUUUAACCAUGUCAUAUUUUGAAUUAUUUAUUAUAUAACCAUCAUUAUAUUCAUUUAGGAGAAGUUAUUUUGUGAUGGGAUAUAUUUUCUGCUUUUUAUUUUAAAAAUUAGAAACCCCUAUGUACUCUCUUUAUCUUUCUUUGACACUUGAAUUUUUUAAGUUUUUAGGAGCUUCAAAAAUGUUAUAUGCACACCUUCCAUAUAAUCUCUCAAGAGUAAAGUGGAUAUUUAAAAAGACACAAAAGCAACUUCAUAGAUGAGUAUGUAUACAACAACUUAUGACUUAAUUAAGAGAGGGUGUUGCUAUGAGAAAAGACAUAUUCAAGCUUAUCACUUGAAAAGGCUUUAAAGAGGAUAUUCGAUAGAGGAUAAAGGAUUUGUAGACGUUUGGUUGGCUAAAAUGUGUCAACACAUUAUAUGUAUACCUUUUGGAGUUAAACUAGUCGUUAAACAUGAGUUCCCUGAUAGAUCAAACUUGAGGUUAACCAAGUGACUAGUCAUUAGAGUAUCAAAUACCUUAUAAUUUACAAGUAACUGUUGGAGGAAAAACUACUAAUAAGGUGAACCACAUGUCAACCAAGUAGCUUUUUUAUUUUUAUUAUUUUUCAUGUUUUCAAGUUUUCAACCAAAAAAAAUAAGUAAUAGGUCAACCACAUGUCCAUUGGUUCUAUUUUGUCACUACCUAAGCUUUAUUAAAGGAACUUUUCAGUAUCCUAAAGUCCCUUAAAUUAUGAAGCCAACUUUUGAGGACUUCAACCAAGUUUUAAGCAUAAUUUUCAAGUAAAAAAUAUCUUAAUUUAAUCUUUUAAUCUUUUAAGAACCUUAGAGUAUUAUACAUCAAAAAUGAGGUUCAUGGUGGUAUCAAAACUAGGAUUACCUAAUUUUUAAGCCAAUAGUUCAUAAUAUUUAAGAUGCCUUCUCAAACAAGGUUUUAGUUCCACCCCUUUAAAACUAAAGUUGAGAUAGUCUUUUCAAGAAAAAUAAUGUUUCAUACUUCAAUAAAGGAAUGUCUUGUACCGAUAUUCUUUUUUCCUCUAUUCUUCCUUACCUUCAUUCUUAUAAAGCAAACUGAUCUUUCCAAAUGAAACCCUAACUUUAAUUUUUAAGAAACUUAAAAUUUAUCUUAAAGUACAAAAAGGUGAUAACAACAAUGAGAGCGUUGCACUUGUAUGGAAUAAAUGGACAAUCAUAAGGAAAAUUUUAAAAUAAAAAAUAAAAAAUGGUCUUCUCUUUCUUAUUUCUUCCUAAAAUUUUUCUACUAAUUUUUUUAUACAAAGAAGCAUACCUUUAACCACAAAUUAUUCAAAUUUUCAAGCAAACCCUAAUCCUCAAAUCAUCAAAAUCAUUAAAAUAAAUAAAUAAAUAAAAUGUUAUAUAAAAACCCUAAGCUCACUUUUUGCUCUUAUAAUCAUCCAAUCAUCUUAUCUUUUUUGUCAUAAGAUAGCAAAAUGUAGGCUUUGUUUGGUUAUCAGAGAAUUUGAGAGAAAAUAUAAGGAAAAGAAAAAGAAAUGAAAUGAAAGAAAAUAAAAAAAUUAAAUCAAUAAAUUAUUUUUAUAUAUUUUUUCAAACUCAUUUAACUUAUUCUAAUUUUUCAAUUAUAAAAUUAAAUAAUUUGAAAAUAUAUAAAUUUCUAACUAAUUUUAAUUAUAUUUUAUUUUCUUUUAUAAUUUUCAUAUAUAGUAUAAUCAAAUACCAAUGUUUUCCAAACCGAACCGAUGCUUGAACCGGAAAAGUUACCAAUUCACAAUUCAUGGUUCACUGAUCGGACUGGUGGUCAAACUGCGGUCGAACUAAUAAUGUCAUAAAUAAUAAUUUUUUUCUUUCUUCUCACUAACUAAUCCCACAUCGGAAAUGGAUCUCAAAUAUGUAGGGAUUGUGGUAUAAAAGGCAUGAUAGAAUCAUUAACUUGCAGGACUAAAAUCUUAUUGGGCUUGAUGACAAAUGGGUUGGAUGGGCUCCUCAUGGAGUGAUCCCAUUCUCUUAGGGCAUCAAAACUUUUUGUUUUUUUUUGCUUCAAAAAAAAAAAAAGAAAAAGAAUUGUUCAAUUCGCUAAGAAUCGCCCAAUUCAGGUGAUUCGUUGGUUCAACUGUUGGUUUGUCCAAUUCACCAAUGGUUCGAUGCCCAAACGGUUUUCUGGGUGAACCGGAUUAGUUUUGUUACUAGUCAGACCAACCGGUCCAAUCCGAUAUUUAAAUCAUUACCAAAUACAAUAAAAUAUUUUUUCUUAAUAUUUUUUUUUCUUUUUUUAGUACUUCUCAAGAACCAAACAUAACCAUAAGACUAAUCAUAUUUUUUAUUAUAAGCUCAUUCGGAUACAAUGCCCCAUGUGAGAAUCCCAAAACGUUUUUCAAUGUUUUAUCAAUAUUAAGAUUUUGAAAAUCUAUGGAAAUUAUUAUUUUCUUUUUUCUUUUUUCUUUAUUUGGAUGAUAGAGCAUGAUUAUACAAGAAAGGUCAAUGCAAAGAUCAAUAUCUACAAUCUUGGAGUUGCACUUCUAGAGCUGGGCCCUAAAAGAGAACCCAAUAGGGGAAAGGGGCAACAUAUAAACCUUGUUCAAUGGGCAUGGCAGCACAUUGGAGAAGGAAAGUCAUUUGUGAAAGCAUUGGAUGAGGAGAUCAUGGCACAAUGCUACUUCAAAAAAAUGAGUACUAUAUUCCCAACAAUCAAACUUUAUCAUGAAAAUUUUGAUAAUAGUGAGGAUUCUCUUAUCUACGAGUAUAGAGACAAAUAGGUAAAAGGUAAAUAAAUUAUUAAUAGAGCUUAAAAUAAUAAAUUGAACAAAUAAACAUAUGGUAAGAUUGGAACUCAUUAUCCUCCUACUAAAUAAAGUUCUAAUACCAUAUUGGAUAACUAAAUUUUUUAAGAACUUAAACUUAAGAUUUGGAUCCUUAUGAUUGUGUAUCACACUUUCUAAUAAUAUAUCAAAUACUUUCCUAGAUUCCGUAAAUACCAAAAAUGAUAUUUGUUUUGGGAACAAGACUAGAGUUUUGAGUGGAUAUAAUAUAUUUUAAAAAAUGCACAAAAUAGAUUCUCAAGUAAAAUAAUUCCCAAGCUAGCACAUUUUAGCUACAUGGGCAUCCAUAUGGCUAGAGUUUUUUUUUAUGUUGUUUUAACUACGAUUUUGAAUUUUUUAAACAUAAAAUGAUAGUUAGAGAUUAUAGUUUUAAAUUUAUUUUUAAAAUCAUAGUCAUCAAUUAUGGUUUUGAGCUUAAAUUUAAAAUCUUAGUUGGUAACUAUUGUUUUAACCAUUUUCCAAUCAAAUCAAAAUUAUAGUUCACAACUAUGAUCAUGUGAUAUAGAUACACAUGUCAAUGAAACACUCCAAUUUGAAAAUUAUUUUGAGAAGGGAGCUACUUUGUAGAUUUUUAUUUUUUCAAAUAAAUUAUUUUUCCUCAAACCUUAGAAAGCUAACUUGUUUAGAACUAAAUUCAAUUAUACACUUUCCUAAUUUUUCUUUUUAUAAGAUCAAAUCCAUGUUCACUUUUCCUCUAGAAUCCUCAUGAUUACUUGUAGAAUUCUUGAGAUGAAAUGGAAGUGUGGUAUGAGAUGCAUGCUUGUUUAAACUUCAGUUUCAAUCUUGAUCAAUGCUGUCCAUUUCCUUAGCUGUGCAGGAUGUGGAACCACUGCUGGAUCCUGUUGUGAGACUUGACCAUCAAUAUCCUUCUCUCCAUUUGUGGGGUCCUGCCCACUUAAUCACUACUUUAGAAAUUUGACCAACACCCAAAUUCUCAACAGCCCAAAAAUAUUUUUAUUAAAGAGAAAGAUAAUUAUAAUAUUUCUGAAAUUUUUAGUUAAAUAGAAAAUUUGUUUCCCAAGCUGAUUAUGGUUACUUCUCAAUAACACAAAUAAAUGAUAUGAAGCAUAAAAUAGAAAGUUACAAAGGUUUUUAUUCUUUGAGUUGUUUGCACUUUGUACUGCUAUUUUUAUCAUUUACCAAUGUAAUUAAUUAAUGGUGAUUAAAUGUUUAAAAAAAUUGUACUUAAUGCAUAUUUUUAUGAUGACGAAGACUUGCAAAAGCAACCUUAGGAAUUGGUCUGGACCAUUUUUUUGAUAAGCUUCAUGGAAUUUUAAGAUGGAGAAUGCUACUUCCACUUUCUUUAACCAAGCGUGCCAAACGCGUUCUCUCUAAUUUUUCUAUAUUCUUAACUAAAAAAUUAGAAUAUAGAAAUAACAAAUUACCAUCCAAUAGGCCCACAAUGAAAGAGGUUUUGAAAAUUCUUCAACAGUGCAGUCCUCAAGAGGGCCAUGGACGAAAGAAAAAGGACCAUGAAGUUGCACCUCCACUUCGAAAUGACACUUACCCCGCCACUUACAAGUUAUGAGGAUAGAGCCCUUAAAAACAUGAUAUGAUGUAAUAGAUUUAGAAUUCAUUAUUUAUUUAAUGAUGUUCUGAUUUCACUUUUAUUUAUCCUUAUUACAUGUAUUAUACUUUAUGAGCAUUCUUGUCUGCAUAUUUUGCAUUGCACGUAACUUAGGUGCAUUAGAAGUUGCACAGAAGAUCUAGGUCAUGGGUUCCUUGCAAGUAGAUGACUUGUUCACAACCAGUUCAUGGGUUUAGGAAGCCCAUUAGAGGUUGUAGUUAACUACUUCCUAAUUGGAAGAAUGGCUAGUCUUAGCUAUUGGGAUGAGUUUCUCAUGGUGAAUGCAUUAGUGUGUAUGAUUACACAUUGGACAUGACUUAUGGUGAGUCAUGACUUAAGGCUAUCAAGCAGUCAUAACCUCACCAAGCUACUUCAUUGUGUUGUUUCCCAACCUUGAGAGAAUAUCGAGUUUAUACUAAAGUUAGCAAUGACUUUAACAUACGUGUGAGAUCGUAAAUUGAUCAUAUAUUCCCUAUGAAUUGAGUCACUAUUGAUGGAAGAUGGUAGCAAUAGGUAUUUUCAAUAAAAACCAUGAUAUCUCUUGGGAUUAAGACAAUAUGCCUCUUUUGGUGAUUCUAAAGAGGUGUGUUCAUGGAAACUAUGGUCAUAGUAGUUCCUUAAGUAAAACUCGAUAUAGGCUCUUUGAGAGCUAAGACAUGUCAAUUGAAUACACAAUAGGAGGAUUUAUAACUCAAGGAUGGUAGAGGUAGUCUUGAAAAACUAAUAACUUUCACUUUGUUAGACUAUGAAUAUCAAUUCAUGGGGAAACUAAACACAAUAAAUAGCAAGUCACGAACCCGAACAUUUGGUAUCUCAUUGUUAUUUUCAAUAAAAUAACAACGAGAUGGUAAGUUAAUCAUAUAUUCCUAAGGAAGUGUGUUCAUACAAACUAUGACCAUAAUAGUUCCUUAAGUGGAACUUGACAUAAACUCUUUGAGAGCUAAGACAUGUCAAUUAAAUACAUAAUAGGACGAUCUGUUAUUAAAAUAAGGAAGGAAGAAGAUUAAAAGAAAAUUUAAACUUUUUUAUCUUAGAAUAUCAAAAAAGAAUAAACUUUAAAAUGCUUUUUAAUACAAAAGAAAACAAAAUAGUGAAUAUAUUUAUUUUAAAUAGUAUUUUAAUCAUUAAAUUAUUUACUUUUAAAAUAUAAAAAAUAGUUUUUAUUAAUUUAAAUUAACAUAUUUUUUUAGAAAAUAUUUUUCAAAAUACUUUUUGAAUCAUUAAUAUAAUUUUUGUUUAUUUAUAAUUUAAUAAUAAAAAAUCUAAAAAUGGUUAAAUAAGGGAGAAUUUGCUUGAGGUGGUAUGUGAAGAGUAAUGUUUUAAAAACCGGAUCGGACCGACCGGUGUCCGGUUCCACCAACCAAACAGUUCUAAGUUAACCCCUGAUUUUGCAAACAUGGAAGGGUGUUCCAUUGGAUUUAAAUGUUUUGGGCUAAAGCCCACACCCAUCUCCACAAUUUUAUGAGCUGAGUCUUGAGCCCAUGUGAUGAUGGCUUUUAUAGGCAUUCUUUGUAGCCUAUUUCCUCUCACAAAUAGUUGUGGGAUUGCUAACUUAUCAAAGAAACAAAUAUAACAAGCCUCUCCACCACCAAGAGGGCUUGAACCUUGCACCUCAGGUUCUACCAUCAGAAUAUGACACCACUUGGCUACAUGCAGUUUGUUAUCUAACAUGCCAAACAAAACAAUAUACGUUAGAUUUUAACAUUUUUUAUAAUAUUAAAUAAAAAUAAUAUAAUAUUUUAAAAAAUUAUAAAAUUAGUUUAAAUUUUUAUUUUUAAUAUAUUCACAUUUAAAUAUUAUACACAUUUCAUUUAAAAUAUUAAUAUGAUUUAAUUUGAUAAUAUCAAAGAUAUAAAAUAAUAUUAUUGAUUUUUAAUUUAUUCAUAUAUAUUUUAAAAAAAAUUAAUUAUUUUUAAUUUUAAUAAUAUAUAAAUGACAUAUUUAUGACGUCACCGGUUCGACCACCGAUCCAACCAAUGAACCGGUAACUUUUUUGGUUCGAUGACCGGUCCGAUUUUGAAAACAUUGGUGAAGAGUGAGGGAUAAAGAAAAAAAUGAUGGCCCACAAACACCACAUGACCUUUGAUGUGAUAAAUGAAAAUGGGUAUGUUAGUCCCAUACUAUUGCCAUCCAACAGGUCCGCGAGUUUUUUUCUAGUCAAUGGACAUUUUCCACUUUCAUUUCGGAUUCCACGCAGACUUGCGAAGGCAACCUUACAAUUAUUGGUGGACGCAUUUUCCUGAUAAGCUUCGUGGAAUCUUUAAGACGAAGGAGGAUGCUACUGUCCACAUUCUUUAACCGAGCGAGCUAAACACGCUCUCUAAGUUUUCUAUAUUCUUAAUUUCUAAUGUUAUAUAUAUAUAUAAUAUUUUUUAAAUGUAAUAAUUAAAAAAUGAUUUUAAUUUAUCAUAAUUUUAAGAGUCAAAUAAUAAAAAAUUAUUUUUAAAAGAUAAAAAAUCAUUUAAAAAAAAAGAAGAAAAUUUCAACAUUUUAUAUCCAUUUAAAAAUUAUCUUUUAAAACAACUUUGGAUUGAUAUUUUAUAAAUUAUUAUAAAUUUUAAAAUAUUUUUUCAAUUGUUAUUCAUUAAAUUAUUUUUAGAAACUACCAUAUAUAUUUUUUUUUUGUCUCAUUCUAGUUUAAAAACGGAAGGAAGGGUAAGAUGCGGGCUUAAAUUUUAUGGUCCCAUUAAAAUAUAAAAAUAAAUAUCAAUAAUAAGAUGGUUUCAUGCAUAUUUUCUUUAUUCUUUUAUUCAUACUAUAAUUUUAUUUAUUUAUACUGGCUUUGUUAGUACGUUGGAUGACCAGAAUUUCAUGAUACCUUUUAUAUAUUACUAAUGGCAGUGAGGUGAUGGAAUAGACCUAUAUCAUGGGUCUAUUCAACUUUAUUAAAGUUUGGAUUCUUUCAAAGUUAGAUAAAAAUUCGUAUUAUUCCUACCACUUUGACCCAUGAUAAAAAAUUUAUAAUACAUAAAGAAAAACCUUUUUUUAUUAUUAUUAUCUUUUUUAACAUUCGGUUGUUAGACCUUCAAAACAAUGAACUAAAAAGAUGCAACCAAGUCCAAGUUAAAAUAAAGAAUAAAGAACUCAAACAUCUUAUAACACAUACUUGAUAUAAAAAGGUAAAAUAUAUAUAUAUAUAUAUUUAAAAAAAAAAUAGUUCAUGCUUUUGUGUGAAACAAAGUACUAUUAUUUUUAUAUUAUUUUAUUGUCCAUAAAGUAAUAUAAAUAAUUUUAAUGGUUUGAAUGCCCUCCAGUUUUUAACAUAAGAAUCCCUUACACAUAUAUGAACCAAAAAAGGACCAAUCAUACCAUACCAUAUGACAUAAACAUUUUAGGUUUUAUUACUUUGUACAUGAAUCUAAUUUCAUUAUUUUAUAUAUUAAUAUCAUUUAUUUGUAUUUGAUUUUAUCUAUUUAUACUUUGAUCCCAAAUAUUAGUAUUUACAUUCACUUAAAUUUUAUCGUACAUUUUCAAUGAUAAAAAUAAAUGUUGAUUUAAUACCUAAACUUUUUCUAACAUUAAAGUAAAUAUGAUUUCAUGAAUUUCACAUUUUCUAUUAUCUUGACCUAAAUGCAAUGGGGUUGAUCACUUUUUUCUCAUUCCAUAAUUCGAUCCAGUGAAGAUGAUUUGGUCACCAACCAUUUACUAAGUUGUGACACCCAUUUUCUACACCAACUCAAACACUCCACUUUUGUUAAUAACUUUUAGCCAAUAUAAAGAAAUGAACAUACCAUUUGAUAUAUUCACAUGGAUUAAAGCAUGCAUUUUCUUUUAAUGAUGUCAUAUUUUGAAUUAUUUUAAAUAUUAACAUCAUUACAUUCAUUUAAAAGAAGUUAUUUUAUGAUGGGAUAUACUUUUUACUUUUUAUUUUUAAAAUUGAAACCGUUAUAUACUCUCUUUAUCUUUCUUUUACACUUGAAUUCUUUAAGGUUUUAGGAGCUUCAAAAAUAUUAUAUGCACACCUUCCACAUAAUCUCUAGAGCAUAAAGUGGUUGUACAAUAGGUACAAAAAGCAACUAGCAUGUAGACAAUUUAUGACUUAAGAGAAGGUAUUGUUACGACAAAAGACAUAUUCAAGCUUAUUAUUUGAAAAGGCUUUAAAGAGGAUAUUCAAUGGAGAAUAAAUGAUUUUUCAAGGUUUUUAACUAAUUUUAAUUAUAUUUGAUUUUUUUUUCAUGUUUUUCAUAUACAUGUAUAAUCAAAUGAGAGAAAAUAAUUUUUUUUAAUAUUUUUUUAUUUCCUUAGUAUUUUUCAAGAACUAAACAUAAUUAUAAGAUUAGUCAUAUUUAUUAUUAUAAGCUCCUUGGGUAAAUUUCCCUUCAAUGAUUAUCCUAAAACGUUUUUACAUGUUUUAUCAUUAUUAUGAUUUUGAAAAUCUAUAGAAAUUCAUGGUUUUUAUAACUUAUUUAGAUGACAGAAUAUGAUUAUACAAGAAAGGCCAAUGAGAAGAUCGAUGUCUACCAUUUGAAGUUGCACUUCUAGAGUUAGCUACUAUAAGAGACCUAGGGGGAAGGGGCAGGAUAUGAACCUUGCUCAAUGGGCAUGGCAGCACCUUGGAGGAGGAAAGUCGACUGUGAAAGCAUUGGAUUGAGGAGAUCAUGGCACUACGCUCCUUAGAAGAAACGAGCACUGUGUUCAAACUCUUUGGCUGCCACCAGAUAAACUCAUUUUCAUUGCCUACUUUGCCUUCUUAUCUAAUACUAUCAUAUGCCUUUAAUGCCUUCUUUAUACAAUUUUGCGUGCAUGAACCAGAAAGCCUAUUGGUGGGCAAGGAGUGUUGCUCUCUCUUAGAAACCAAGAUUGGUUCUAUAAUGAAAAUACCGUCUUCCGAGGGCAUAUGAAACAAGAAGAUAAUUCUAAUAAUCAAAGCUUAAUCAUGAAAGUCUUCAUCAUAGUGAGAAUUCCCUUAUCUAAAAGCGCAAAGACAGAUAGACCUUUAGCAAAAUAAAUUAUGAAUAAGUUAAUUUGAGCUUAAAAUAAUAAAUAGAGCAAAUAAACAUGUAAUAAAGUUGGAACUCAUGACCCUCCUACUAAAUGAAGUUCUAAUAUUAUAUUGGAUAAUUAAUUUUUUUAAAAACUUCAACUUAAGAUUUGCAUCACCAUGAAUGUUGUGUCAUGCUUUCUAAUAAUAUAUCACAUAUUUUUCUAGAUUUUAUGUUAGACCUGUGAUUACUUCUCUAAAUCAAAUUUUGAGCACAUUGUAUAUAUGUACUUGUUAGGAUGAAUCAAUUAUCAAUGAAUGAAGAAAUACAACUCCUCGUAGAGUCUCUUUGCUUAUUUCCUCUACAACUUGAUUAGUUGAACUUAAAAGAACUCCUGAGUGCUUUCACAAAAUGUUUUGAACUUCAAACCUACACAAAGAUGGAAACCAUAUUGUUGAGGUCUCACGUCCCUGGUGACCCACGUAGUUGCCAAAUGGAUGGACGCACGAUCUCAACCAAUAUAGAUUCCUAGUUCAGUGGUUCCUGCAAAAGGCGUCCGGACAGGGUGUCCGGACACACCCUUUGAUGGUUUUGUCAGCCAUGGUAAGAGAGAUAAAUCAGUUGGUCUUUUUCUAGGUAUAACAAGCUUACCUUCCUCUUUGUGUGAAGGUUCAUAUAUAUAGUACCAGAAGCUCUGUUUCCCUCUUUAAUGGUAGGGAGAUAUUUUGGCUUGUCAUGAUGCCACUAGGUGGUGGCAGGGCCAUCAUCACCCUACGGGCGGCUGACAGAGAUUGUGGGAGGUGCCGCGGCUGUCAAAGAUCGUGGGAAGUGACUUGCCAUCACUUCAUUCCUGUCCUUUCACUCUGCAUGUGGCGGAAUGUGGGCCAUGGCAGACUGUUGUGAUAACAUGCAAGACUUGCUUACUUCAGUCAAUGAUCCGGACAAACAUAUCCGGAUAGUAUAUGUCGGUCGUCCGGAUGCGAUGUGGCGUUCGUCCGGAUGUUAUAUUUGUGAGUGUUGUGUGUCUCUCCUUGAGGGAGUCUGGAUAGGAGAGGCGCGCCACGUGUACUCUUAGGGAAAUCCGGAUGGGAUUAAUCCGGAUAGAAAUGUAUGCCACGUGUCACCAGGAAGUGUGUGCCACAUGUCAUCAGGGGGAGGGGUCCCUACAAUGAUAGAUUCCUGGUUCAGUGGUUCCUGCAAAAGGCGUCCGAACACACCCUCCAAUGGUUUUGUCAGCCAUGGUAAGAGAGAUAAAUCAGUUGGUCUUUUUCUAGGUAUAGCAAGCUUACCUUCCUCUUUGUGUGAAGGUUCAUAUAUAUAGUACCAGAAGCUCUGUUUCCCUCUUUAAUGGUAGGGAGAUAUUUUGGCUUGUCAUGAUACCACUAGGUGGUGGCAGGGUCAUCAUCACCCUACAAGCGGCUGACAGAGAUCGUAGGAGGCGUCGCGGCUGUCAGAGAUCGUGGGAAGUGACUUGCCGUCACUUCAUUCUUGUCCUUUCACUUUGUAGGUGGCGGAACGUGGGCCAUGGUAAGCUGUUGUGGUGACGUGCAAGACUUGCUUACUUCAGUCAAUGAUCCGGACAAACAUAUCCGGAGAGUAUAUGUCGGUCGUCCGGAUGCGAUGUGGUGGUCGUCCGGAUGUUAUGUUUGUGAGUAUUGUGUGCCUCUCCUUGAGGAAGUCCGGAUAGGAGAGGCGCGCCACGUGUACUCUUGGGGAAAUCCGGAUUGGAUUAAUCCAGACAGAAAUGUGUGUCACGUGUCACCAAGAAGUGUGUGCCACGUGUCAUCAGGGGGAGAGGUCCCUACACAUAUCAUUGAAAUAAUUAAAUAGAUCAACUGAAAUCAAAGUGCUAUUGUCUUAUUUAAAAAAAAAAUUACAAAAAAAAAAAAAAAUCAUGGGCUUUAUGCAAAAACGAUAGUUGCGCAAAACUCCUUCUUUGGAAUACUAGAUUGGUGUCAUGUAUCAUUUCACUUGGCACCUUCUUCCAUAACUAUCAAAAAUGAUAUUUGUUUAUGAGGAAAACAAGAGUUUUGGGCAAAUAUAAUAUAUUUGAAAAAUAAAUUCAUAAAAUAGAUCUUCAGCCAAAAUAAUUUUCAAGUUAGUGCAUUUUAACUACUUGGACAUCUAAAUAGUCUUAGAAUGUUUUAUUUUUUUUGAAGUAUAAAUUUAAAACCGUAGUUGGUAAUUAUAAUUUUAACCAUUUAAAAAAAGUAAAGUUUCUAAGUUAGUACAUUUCAACAUGAACAUCCACGUGGCUUGAGAAUAAUUUUUUUUUAAAAUGUUUUUUGCAUCACAAAAUUGUAAUUAGUAACUAUUGUUUUGAAUUUUUUUAAACAUAAAACCAUAAUUGGAGACUCUAAUUUUAAAUUUAUCUUUAAAAUUCAUAGUUGAUGAUCGUAGUUAUCGACUAUAGUUUAAAUUUAAAUUUAAAACCAUAAUUGAUAACUAUUAUUUUAACCAUUUAAAAAACAUCAAAAUUAUAGUUAAGUAUGGUUUGUGACAUGGAUACACAUGUAGAUAAGACACUCUAGUUUGAAAAUUAUUUUGAAAGGGACCUACUUUGUAGAAUUUUAUUUUUGCAAAUAAAUCAUUUUUCCUCAAAACUCAAAACUAACAUGUUUAGAAAUAAAUUCAAUUAUACACUUUCCUAUUUUUCUUUUCCCUAAUAUAAGACCAAGUCCAUGUUAUCACUUUUCCACUAGAAUAUUCCUCACUGAUAUCACUUUUCCACUAGAAUAUUUCUCACUGUCCAUUCCCUUAGCUGUGCAUUAUUCCAAGGCCAGUUUUCUAGCUACCAUAAUUUAGUCCAGGAUGUGGAACAACUGCUGGAUCAUGCUGGAUCCUUUUGUGAGACUUGACCAUCAAUAUCCUUCUCUCCAUUUGUGGGGUCCUGCCCACUUAAUCACUACUUUGGAAAUUUCGCUAACACCCAAAUUCUCAACAACCCAAAGCCACAGACUUCUGCAUCCUUCCAUCCAUCUUUCUUUAAGUAAAAUAGACACCCAUUUGGUCUUUGUUCGUCAUUUGUUUCACUUUCUCCCAAGAAUACUAAUCUUGUCUGACUGAUUAGUUUCAUCAGAGAUUUUUCAAGAAAAAGAAUAUCACAUUUUAUAUUUGAAAAAAAAAAAAGUAUUGAAUAUAUUAGCAAGAUAUCAUCCUCGAAAAGUUACGGUAGUUGACCGGCAUAGAAAAAAGAAUAAGUGAAUGGGGAUGACAACGGAGCGGGUUUUUUUGGGUACUCGUCCUUAAUGAAACGGAGUUUAAAUUUAAUAAACGAGUUUGAGAUGAGUAUGAAUUUUUUUUUUAAACCCGGGACAGGUUCGGGUAUUGCCCCAUCCCGUCCCGUCCCGAUUACAUAUAAAAUUAAUUUUAAAAUUAAUUUAAUUUAAAAUUUUAUUUUAUUAUUUUUAAUAUAUAGAUAAUAAUAAAAAAAUUUAAUAAAAUAAAUUAUAAAAUAUAUAAUAAUUUUAUUAUUUAUAAAAUAUAUUUAUUUUAAUGUAAUUAAAAAAUUUAAAAGUAAUUUUUAAAUAAAUAAAAAACUAAAUAGGGUGGGACGGGCCCAUAUCCGCCUCGUUUAAUUUUUUAAAUGGGACAAAAAUAAGAAUUAUUUUUAAUAAAUAGGACAGGAUUGGGAUGGAGUGACCCGUCCUGAAACCCUUCCGUUGGCAUUCCGACGAUUUUGGAAUUUUUGUUUAUGUUACUUUGCAUUGUUCUUAGAUUUCCCCUUUCCAAUAAAAGCCUGACAUUAUAUGUAUAGAAUUCCGUAUAAUCCAAUCAUUGCUUCGGUGGUUCGUGUAUACCACGGGAAUUAGGAUAAGUCUCCUCUUUUGACGAGUCAAUGCCCUUUCGCAUUCAUUUAUAAUUGUUUGGAUUACAUGAAAGACUAUAAAAGCAACCUGGCCCCAUUUUGUUGACGGAAGCUGCCACUUCCAAACACACUUACUGAUUUUUGGUUAUUUGUUUAUUCUGUUUUCUGUUUUUGAUUUUUAAAGAAAAUAAAAAUCAAGUUUAAAAACAUGUUUAGAUUUUUUUUUUUUUUUUAAUUUUGAGUACAAAAAUGGUAAGAAAUAAAAAUAUUAAUUUGGUGUUUUUAAAAUUUUCCUAUGACAAUGUUUUCCUUCAACUUAAAAAUAGAAAAAUUAUCUUUAGAAUUAAUUAUAAAAUUAUAUAUAUAUAUAUAUUUGAUAUAUUAUUUUAAAAUAAAAACAUAAUCAAAUACAGAACAAUAAAGCAAAACAAUUAUGUGUGACCGGGUCAGUGUCCAUGUCCAAUCUCCGCUACUCUAAAUCGUACCAUGCCCACAUCAAGCUUUCAUUGAGUCAUUCCAUGUUCAAACCAUAACCCACGGCAAGACUGACCCAGAAAAUUUUGCCCCAUCCCGUCCCACACGAUUACAUAUAAAAUUAAUUUUAAAAUUGAAUUUAAUUUAAAAUUUAAAAUUAAUUUAAUUUAAAAUUUUAUUUUAUUAUUUUUAAUAUAUAAAUGAUAAUAAUAAAAUUUUAAUAAAAUAAAUUAUAAAAAAUAUAAUAAUUUUAUUAUUUAUAAAAUAUAUAUUUUUAAUAUAAUUAAAAAAUUUAAAAAUAAUUUAAAAAAAAAAACUAAAUAGGACGGGAUAGGACGGGUACGAGAAUUUUAAACGGGAUUGAAAUGAAAAUUAUUUUUAAUAAAUGAGACGGGAUUGGAAUGGAAACGAUCCGUUGGAACCGCCCGUUGGCAUUCCGAUAAUUUUGGAAUGUUUGUUUAUGUUACUUUGCAUUGUUCUUAGAUUUCCCCUUUCCAAUAAAAGCCUGACAUUAUAUGUAUAGAAUUCCGUACAAUCCAAUCAUUGCUUCGCUGGUUCGUGUAUACCACGGGAAUAAGGAUAAGUCUCCUCUUUUGACGAGUCAAUGCCCUUUCGCAUUCAUUUAUAAUUGUUUGGAUUAUAUGAAAGACUAUAAAAGCAACCUGAGUCAAUACCCUUUCGCAUUCAUUUAUAAUUGUUUGGAUUAUAUGAAAGACCAUAAAAGCAACCUGGCCCCAUUUUGUUGACGCCUUGACGGAAGCUGCCACUUCCAAACACACUUACUGAUUUUUGGUUAUUUGUUUAUUCUGUUUUCUGUUUUUGAUUUUUAAAGAAAAUAAAAAUCAAGUUUAAAAACAUGUUUAGAUAUUUUUUUUAAAAAUUUUGAGUUCAAAAAUGAUAAGAAAUAAAAAUAUUAAUUUGGUGUUUUUAAAAUUUUCCUAUGACAAUGUUUUCCUUCAACUUAAAAAUAGAAAAAUUAUCUUUAGAAUUAAUUAUAAAAUUGUAUAUAUAUAUAUAUAUAUAUAUAUAUAUAUUAUUUUAAAAUAAAAACAUAAUCAAAUACAGAACAAUAAAAUAAAACAAUUAUGUGUGACCGGUCAGUGUCCAUGUCCAAUCUCCACUACUUUAAAUCAUUGAGUCAUUCCAUGUUCAUACCAUAAUCCACGGCAAGACGACCAAGAAAAUUUUGCAAGCGUCGACUUCUUCUUCUGAUUUUUACUGGCUGUCAGGAUACAAACCUUUAUCGAGGAAAAAGACUGCAUGCCUCUUUAGGCUUCUUCAAUUUUUUUUUUAUAAAUAUUUUUAUAAAAAAAUGAAUUAAUUUUCAAAUUCAACUUAUAUGAUAUAAUAAUAUAGUAUAAUAUAAUAUAUAAUAUUAAUAAAUAAUAAUAAAUAAAAUAGUUAUAUAUUAUUAUUAUAUAUUAUAUAUAUUAUAUUUUAUAUAGAGGAUGUUCGAUAAAUCAAUUUUAUGAUUUAAAGUGAUUUAAUAACUUAAUUUAAAUUAUUAAAUAAAUUAAAUAUUUUAUAAAAUAUCAUAAUAUUUAAAAUGAUUUUAAAUAUUAAAUCAAAAUAAUUAAUUUAUUUUUAAUCUGAAAUCAUUUUUAUUAGAUUUUAUUUUUUAGUAUAAGUUUACUCGAUUAAUGAAUUAAAUUUUUGAAAUUAUUUAAAAUAAUUAUAAAAUAUUUACUUUAUAAAAAAUGAGUCAUACAUAUUAUAAAGAUUGUUAUUACAUAUUUGGAGUGAUCUGAGAUUCAUAAUAAAUUUAGCAUUUUAAUUUAAUAUUUAAAUAUUAUUUUUAAUUUUAAAUUAUGAUAUUAAAUUAUUUUAUUAAAUGUAUUUAAUAACUUACAUUGAAUUAUUAAAUCAUUAUAUUAAUUUAUCACACACCUCCUAAAAAUCCUUUUUUCUAGUAUACCAAAAAUAAGACCAAUAAAAUCAUAUCAUUAGGUCUCAAUUUUUUUUUACGUUCCAUUUAUUUAUAUUUUAAUAAUAUAUGUUUGGAUCGUCGUGAAAUGACGUAGAUUUUACCUUACACUUUUGAUAGUCAGUGCUGCAUGUUGAUUAGGUUUACACUUGCCCUUCUUUCUAUGGUAUUUUCCUGCGCUGCCACUGUCGACAUGGCAGUCAACUAGUCAAGGAGCAUCGACUUAAAAGUGAUGUGAAAUCAGUUGGAAUUAUUAAUUAUACUUGUGGAAAUGAAGUGCUUUAGACCCAGGUGGGCCUGGAAAUCAGCUAAAGGUCCUCCUUUCGUCGUGAUAAUAAAUAUAUGAAAUAGGAAUGAAAAAAAAAAAUACUCCUUUGACUUAUCAUAACAAAUAUAUAAAAAUCGGGAAUAAUUAUAUUUUAGACCUAAUUAGACUAAAAAAUUAAGCUUUAAUCCAUAUAAAUUCAUAAUAUAAGCUAAAAACUUAUAGAAAGUGUGAAAAUUGAGAAGAAUGAUAUGAAAUUUUUAUCUUUCCAAAAAUAAUAUUUAUUGGUUAUGGAAAAAAAGAGAGUAGAAAAACAUUAAUUUAAAUUUUAUUCCUUUUGCAAAUUUCAAUAAAAUUUAAUAUAAUUUAGUGGUUUGGAAAAAAAUACACCCAUGUCCAAAAAAUUAAAAAUAAAUUAUUAUUAUUUAAAAAUCAAACAUCUUGGAAAAUAUAUAUAUUUAAAAUUAUGUAUAUAAAAAAUAAUUAAAAAUAUGUCAAUUUUUUUUUAAAUGAUAUAUUUUUAUAAUAUAUUUUAAAAAAAAUUAGUUUUCUAAAAAUAAUAAAUUUUCAUAAUAAUUAUUAAAAAAAAUUAAGAUAAAAAAGUUUUUCAAACCUUAUGAUAGAAAAUAGUUCUGAAUGGUAUAUUAGUCUCUUCAUAUUUUAUAUCAUCUCCAUCAAUUAUGCAACUUUUAUGGGUCAAAUCUUAAUUUUUAGGUCCAAUUGGGUUCAAAAGACAAUUGUCCCUAAAAAUUAUCUCAAAUAAUAAAUUGUUUUUACCCAUGUGGUGUUUGUAGGAUCCAUUAUUUUUGUCUCUAUUCCACCACUCUUUACAUGCUAAUUCCAACAAAUUCUUCCUUAUUUAGUCGUUUCUGGAUUUUUCAUUAUUUUUUAAAACUCUUUUAUAAAUAAUCUAAAGUCAACAAUAUUUUUUAUUUUUAAAUUAUAAAUAAAAAAAUACAUUAAUGAUUCAAAAACUAUUUUGAAUAAUAUUUUUUUAAUAUAUAUAUAUAUAUAUAUAUAUAUAUGUUCAUUUAAAUGAAUAAAACUGUCUUUUACAUUUAAAAGUAAAUAAUUUAAUGAUUAAAACACUAUUUAAAAUAAACAUAUUCAUUAUUUUAUUUUCUUUUAUACUAAAAAUCAUUUUAAAGUUUAUUUCUUUAUUUUUUUUACUAUUCUAACAUAAAAAGUUUAAAUCUUCUUUUAAUUUUUUUUCUUAUUUUAAUAACAUUUUAAACAUGACUUCUACUAAUAAGUUAUAUGAAAUGUUACAAAUUCAUCUACUAAGGAUUUUUUUUAAUGAUUUGAAUUAAUUGAAAAAUUAUCAAAAUAAGAAAAAAAAAAUAAAGAAAGAAAGAAGAUGGAUAAAGAGUUUAUUUUAAAUAUCCAACUAAAAUAAGGUAUGCAAGGUAUUUGUGUAAGUGAACGAUGUAUUUACAUUAAGUGUACAAGAUAAAUGUAUUAAUUGUACAAAGGUGUACAAGGCUAUAUUCCUUGAAAGAAUUCAAUCGAUUUUCAAAAAAUCGCUUACUCAUUUCCUUUUUCCAAGGAUGUAGGACAUUCCACAAACACAUUGUUUGAUGACAUACUUAUCUCAUCUAUUUUUUUGACAUUGUAUAUGUUCAUUCGAUUACCUAGCCCACUAAUGAUGAAUAGGAACAUAAAUUGGGUUUAAUUUUUCCCAUUUUCCCUUAGCCAUGACAAUGGAAACAUGGUUAGCCCACUCAUAUGCACACAUUGCAUUCUAGGUCUAUGAAAUUUGUGUAGGUGUACAAAGUAUUUACACAAAGUGUACAAAGUAAAUGUAUUAACUAUAUAAGGGUGUACAAGACUACUUUCCUUUAAGGAAUUCAAUUGAUUUUCAAAAACUUGCUCGCUCAUUUCCCUUUUGACAAGGAUGGAGGACAUUCCAUAGACACAUUUCUUGAUGAGACACUCAUCCUAUGCAUUUUUUUGACAUCACACAUGUUCAUUUGAUUACCUACCCCACUAAUUAUGAAUAAAAACAUAAAUUGGGUUUAAUUUUCCCAUUUUCCUUGAGCCAUGACAAUGGAAACAUGGUUAACCACCCAUAUGCACACACUGCAUUCUAGGUCUAUAGAAUUUGUGCAAGUGUACAAGGUAUUUACACUAAGUGUAUAAUGUAAAUGUACUAAUUGUACAAGAGUGUACACAGCUACCUUCCUUGAAGAAAUUCAACUGAUUUUCAAAAACUCGCUCACUCAUUUUCCUUUGUCAAGGAUCAAAGACAUUCCACAAACACAUUACUUAAUGACACGCUUAUUCUAUGCAUUUUUUUUUUACUUCGUACAUGUUCAUUUGAUUACCUACUCCACUAAUAAUGAAUGGAAACAUAAAUUGGGUUCAAAUUUUCCUUUUUCCCCUAAGCCAUGACAGUGGGAAUAUGGUUAACUCACUCAUAUUCACAUAUUGCAUUCUGGGUCUAUGGAAUUUGUGCAGGUGUAUAAGGUAUUUACACAAAGUGUACAAGGUAAAUGUACUAACUGUAUAAAGAAGUACAAGACUACCUUUCUUGAAGAAUUUCAAAUAAUUUUCAAAAACUAACUUGACUCUUAUUUCUAAAUUUCAUCAUCUAAAAUUUGUAACUUCAUAUUUUGUUUUUUGUAACCCGUAUAAUUUAAAUGUUCCGAAAACUCUUCAUCUAUUCUCAAUGUUUUCCUAUUGAACUGCACUUAUACUCUUUUUCCAACAUAUUUUUUCAAAUUUUCCUUAUAUCUUUAGAAUUAAGUCUAUAUUUAUGAAUUUUAAUAUUAUUGAAAAAAGAAAAAAAAAUCAUAGUCUUAGACUUAGAGUGUAGAAUGCAAUACUCAAAAUUUGAUAUAUAUUGUGAUUUUAAAAUUAACUUAUGCUUUCUACAUCUUUUUAUUAAUUCAUCAUGUUGGACACUAUGAAUACAUUGUGCAGUUGCACCCUUAUUGUGAAUUUGAUCACAUGCUAAAAGAAAAAAUAAAUAAAAAUUUGAAGGAAAAAAUAAAAUUACAUUGCAACCACCUAGCUACAUGCCCACAUUAUCAAAGACAUUCUGGAAAAUUCUUUUCCACAAUGCAAGGAAUUAGAAGACCCAAGUUUCUGGAUGAAAACCAAAGUCCCACAACUUUGGUUGUAGUUCUUCUUCACUUGUAGAUCCAUAGACAAACUUGUUAAUUCUAUCACACAUAUCCACUUUGUUCCAAUACUAAAAGUAGAAUACCUAACCUGCCCAAAAAGGAGAGCCUAAAAAUAGUUCACAUUCUCAUCCAAACAAGCCAAUUUUCUUGAGAAAAAACUAGUGAAAAGGGUAAAAACAAAACCAAAUACAAAAUUAAUCAAGAUGAUCUAUAAGUACCUGAAUAAGAAGCACAUGGAAAACUAAAUUCUCAACAACUAAAAAACUUCCACUAGUAAAGGUCUCGAUGUCGACGAAAUGGAAAAUGGUGAUGGUGAGGAACAUGGGGAUGCCGACUACUACAAUGACAAUAGGAGGACUUCGAGCUCCUUUAGGGAUAUUUGUGUGGCUACAACAAUGUUGACGACAACAACGACUACCGAGAUCCAAAGUAGAUGAUGGUGUGCUAGGGUUUAAGAUCAUUUUAGGGCUUCGACGUCUUCAAAAAAAAAAAAAACUAAUAAGAGAAAUAUUUUAAUUACCAAACUUGGAAUCCAUUUUGCAAAAGGAGAAUUGUGUUUUAGAUCCAGAUGGGUCUAAAAAUUGGCCUUAAAUCCUCUUAACCCGCAUAAUUGGGCCCAAAACCCAGCAAAGCCUUACAAAUUGAGAUGAAGGAUAUUGACAUUCCAUAAACCCGAAAAUGCCCUUCGUUAAGCUAGAAAAAAAAAAUUCAUGCUGGAAAUACAAUUUGAAAAAUGGAUUCCAAGUUUGGCAAUUAAAAUAUUUCUCCUAUUAGUUUUCAUUUUUUGAAGAAUUGAAAACGCCAAAGCCUUAAAUGAUCCAAAACCUUAGCCACCAUCAUUUACUCUAGAUCUCAGUGGCUGUCGUUGUCAACGACGUUGCUGUAGCCACUCAAAUAUCCCUAAAGUAUUCAUGAUGAAUUAAUAAAAAGACUUAGAAAGAGCAUAAGUUAAUUUUAAAAUCAUAAUAUAUAUAUAUAUAUAUAUAUAUAUAUAUUAUCAAAUUCUGAGUACUACAUUCUACACUCUAAGUUUAAGACUAUGAUUUUUUUUCAACAAUAUUAAAAUUCAUAAAUAUAAACUUAAUUCUAAAUAUAUGAGGAAAAUUUGAAAAAAUAUGUUGGAAAAAGAGUAUAUGUGUAGUUCAAAAGGAAAAAUAUUGAAAAGAGAUGAAGAGUUUUCGGAAUAUUUAAAUUAUAUGGGUUACAAAAAACAAAAUAUGAAGUUAUAAAUUUUGGAUAAUGAAAUUUAGAAAUAAGAGUUGAGUGAGUUUCGAAAAUUAUUUGAAAUCCUUCAAGGAAAGUAGUCUUGUACACCCUUGUAUAGUUAGCAUAUUUACCUUGUACGAUUAAUGUUAAUACCUUGUACACUUGCACAAAUUCCAUAGACCUAGAAUCCAAUAUGCGAAUAUGGGUGAGUUAAUCAUAUUCUCAUUGUCAUGGCUCAGGGAAAAGGGGAAAAAUUGACAUGUACGAAGUCAAAAAAAAAAAAAUUGCAUGGAAUAAGUGUGUCAUCAAGCAAUGUGUUUGUGGAAUGUCUUUGAUCCUUAACAAAGGGAAAUGAACGAGCGAGUUUUUGAAAAUCAAUUGAAUUCUUUCAAAGAAAGUAGUCUUGUACAAUUAGUAUAUUUACAUUGUACACUUUAUGUAAAUACCUUAUAAACUUACACAAAUUCCAUAGACCUAAAAUGCAAUGUGUGCAUAUAAGUGGGUUAACUAUGCUUCCAUUGUCAUGGCUCAGGGAAAAGGGAAAAGAUUGAACCCAAUUUAUGUUCUUAUUCAUCAUUAGUGGGGUAGGUAAUCGAAUGAAUAUAUACGAUGUCAAAAAAAUGCGUGAGAUAAGUGUGUCAUCAAACAAUGUGUUUAUGGAAUGUUCCUCAUCAUUGGCAAAAGGAAAUGAGCAAACGAGUUUUUGAAAAUCAGUUGAAUUCUUUCAAGAAAAGUAGUUUUGUACACCUUUAUAUAGUUAGUACAUUUACCUUGUACGCUUAAUGCAAAUGCCUUGUACACAUGCACAAAUACCUUGUACACAUGCACAAAUACCUUGUACACAUGCACAAAUACUUUGAACACUUUAUUUUAGUUGGAUAUUUAAAAUAAAAACUCUUCAUCUAUCAUCUUUUUCUCUUUUUCAUUUUCUUAUUUUGAUAAAUUUUCAAUUAAUUAAAAUCACUAAAAAAAUAAAAAAUAAAAAUCCUUAGUAGAUAAAUUUGCAACAUUUCAUAUAACUUAUUACUAGAAGUCAUAUUCAAAACGUUAUUAGAAUAAGGAAUGAAAGACAUUCAAAGAAAAUUUAAACUUUUUAUUUUAGACUAGUAAAAAAAAGAAAGAAAUAAACUUUAAAAUGUUUUUUAGUAUAAAAAAAAAAGAGGAAAAUGGUGAAUAUGUUUAUUUUAAAUAGUGUUUUAAUCAUUAAAUUAUUUACUUUUAAAAUGUAAAUGAAACUUUUUAUUUAUUUAAAUUAACACUUUUUUUUUUUUAACAAAAAGCAUUUUUUAAAAUAGUUUUUGAAUCAUUAAUUUAAUUUUUUUAUUUAUAAUUUUAAAAUAAAAAAUAAUAUUGAUUUUAGAUUAUUUAUAAAAGAGUUUAAAAAAAUAAUGAUAAAUAAAAAAAAUGGCUAAAUAAGGGAGAAUUUAUUGGAGUUGGUAUGUAAAGAAUGGUGAAAGAAAGACAAAAAUGAUGGUCUUACAAACACGAGAUGAGUUAAAACAAUUUAUUAUUUGAGAUAAUUUUUAUAUAUUUGAGAUAAUUUUUAUAUAUUUGAUGUGGUAAGUUAGGCUAUAUUUUUUGGGAAACUUGUGUUUUGAUGGGGCCAUUUGGCAAAUAUAUGCUUUUCAGAACCCAACUUUAUGAAAUCUAAAAACCAGUUUUUAAUGUGAAAAAUUAUAUCUUUUUUAUGCACUCUAAGCCGACUGCAUUUUUUGUACCGAGAUUGCCUUUUUUUUUCCUCCCUUACCCACCAUCCAUUUCUCCCUUCAUCCCCAGUGAAACCGGCUAGCCGACGUCAUCCCCGGCCGCCACUCACACCUCUCACCGGCCGGCAGGCAAAGGUUGUGUUUUUCAACCUGGCUCAAAAAUCGUGGAUUUAGGGUUCGUGAAAUUUAAAUCCAAUGGCACAAAAGCAAAGAGACCCCUAGAACAGAUCUAGAAAACACAUGGAUCAAAAAAAAAAAAGCAAUUUUUUUGGUUUUCCUUGGGGGUUUUGCAUGAAUUUUCUCGGAAAUCAAACGAGGAUGAAUUUUCCAAAAAAUCAAAUAUGGAUGGAUUUUCUUGGGGAUCAAACAAGGAUUUUUUUUUUUUUUGCUUCUAUCGCCGUCGUCAAUGAUUGCAAGACUUGUUGGUUGCCGCCGUCAAUGGCAACCAGUCGUGCCUUCUUCCCUCCGACCCUGGUUCUCCCCCAUUGCCAUCGCCUUUUUCUCUCUUGGUGAUGUCGAAAGAGAAUAAAAGAGAAAGAAAGAGGAAAGGGAAAAGGAGAAAGGGGGAGAUUGCCGACCAGAAAAAGGUGUGAGUGGCAGCCGGUGAUGACGCCGGUCGGCUAGUUUCACUGAGGAGAGAGGGAGAGGCGGAUGGUGGGUACAAGAUGAAAAAAAAAAAAGGCAAUCUCGGUACAAAAAAUGCAGCCGGCUUAGAAUGCAUAAAAAAGAUAUAAUUUUUUACAUUAAAAAUUGGUUUUCAGAUUUCAUAAAGUUGGGUUCCAAAAAGUAUAUAUUUACCAAAUGGCCCCAUCAAAACACAAGUUUCCCAUUUUUUUUUCAUUAUUAUUUCAUAUACUUAUCAUCGUGAUAAAAGGAUAAGGCCGAUCAUUGUCGCACUGAAUGGCACUCCACCCCAUGCCCAUGACACACGACCAAUUGAUAUUGACCCUUCACAUUGACUUUCAGAUCCAUUUUUGUUUAUCAGGAAUAGUUUUUCUUCACUUAUUCUUCAUAAUCCUGUAUUUAUAUACUAUAUCAAUAUUUCUAAAUCCUUACCAUUAAUAACUUUUUCAAAAUUCUUUAUUAGUAUCCAUGUUAUAAAUAAUAAAAUAUGAAUUGAACAUUUUCGCUCUCCUCAUAAGCAUAUCACACUUGUCUAUUUGGUUCUUAGAAAAUAUUAGGAAUAAACAAAGAUAGCAUUGGAAAAAAAUAAUUUUUUUUUAUAUUUUGUUUAACAUGAAAAUAUUAAAAUCAAAUCAAUAUAAUUAAAAAUAGUUUAAAUUUUAAACAUUUUAAACUAGUUUAUCUUUAUAUAAUACAAAAAUACAUACAAUGAAUUUGAAUAAACAUAGAAAUGUAAUUUAUUAAUAAUAUUAAUUAUUUUUCAUUUUCCUUCAUGUAAAAAAAAUGGAUAUUAUAUAUAUAUUUAAAAAAAAAGUAUAUGUGAUUCUUGGAAAAUUUAAGGGAGAAUUCAAGAAAAAAAUAACUGAAUUUUCUUUUUUUCUUUCUUUUCCUUACAUUUUCCCUUAAAUUUUUAGAGAAUUGAAGAUAGAUUAAAAGGUUUUUUUCCUACAUUUUUCUUACAUAAAAGGUUAGAAAAAAGUUGAGAAAAUACAUUCCUCAAUAAUUUUUUUUUCUUCAAUUUCUCAAUAUAUAUAAACCAAACUUAUUCCAAGAGAUAAUGAUUAUAUUUAUUAUCAAAUAAAAUUUUUAUAUCUAAUUUACUUUUAGCUAGUAUUGUCCAACAUAAUUAAAUAAUACCAUGGUGGCUUAGGUUAAUUCUAAAAUGAUGGGAAAUAAAUCAAAAUGGUAAUGGACUAAUGAUAGAAAAAUUAUCAUAUAAAAUACCUAGGCAACCAUAGGUGAAAAAAAAAAUUUGAAAAUAAGACUCAUAUUAUGAAAAUAUUAAAAAAUAUUAUAAUUUAAUCACAAAGAUAAUGAGUAUGACUAAGAUCGACGUUUAGGAAAAGAGAUUUUAUAAAUAAAUAAAAAUUAUUUUGAAGUAUCUUACAUGGAUCGCUGAUUUUUAUUCAAAUUUUAAACAAAUUCAUACUAAAAAACCAUAAUGCUUGCUAAAUCUAAUCUUGUAACCUAGUGUUUUGUUCUUAGAAUAUAUAUAUAUAACUGUCCCGGCAUCUUCCACCCUCCUCAUAGAGAUGCUGGUAACGAACUCAACGCCACAAAAAUGCCGAAAGUAAACUUUUAAUUUGCCAAAAUUCCAUUCCCCGCUCUGUUUCUCCUCCUCGUCCUCUCCUUACCCUUUCAAGUAAUUUCCGAAAAUCUGGACGAUGAACUAUCAAUCCUACUAGACGUUAAACAACAACUAGGCAAUCCCCCGUCACUCCAAUCUUGGAAUUCCUCAUCCUCACUCUGUGAUUGGCCGGAAAUUACAUGCAUCGACAAUAUCGUCACUGAAAUUUCACUCAGCUACAAGACCAUCACAAAGAAAAUUUCGGCUAGAAUUUGUGACCUCAAGAACCUUAUCGUACUUGACGUCUCCAACAAUUACAUUCCAGGCAAGUUCCCGGAUAUUCUCAAUUGUUCUAAGCUGGAGCAUCUCCUCUUGAAGAAAAACUUCUUCGUGGGUUCAAUUCCAGCUGACAUUGAUCGACUUUCACGUCUCCGGUACCUAGACCUCACCGCAAACAACUUCUCUGAAGAUAUUCCCGCAGCAAUUGGGCAGCUACGGGAGCUGUUCUACUUGUUUCUGGUUCAAAAUGAGUUCAACGGCACCUGGCCAACGGAGAUUGGUAAUUUGGCGAAUCUUGAACAAUUGGCCAUGGCCUAUAAUGACAAAUUUCGGCCUUCAGCCCUUCCAAAAGAGUUUGGCGCAUUGAAGAAGUUGAAAUAUCUGUGGAUGACGGAGGCGAAUUUGAUUGGCGAAAUACCGGAGAGCUUCAACAAUCUAUCGAGUUUGGAACUCUUGGACCUCUUAGUCAACAAAUUGGAAGGUACGAUCCCGGGAGGCAUGCUUACGUUGAAGAAUUUGAACUAUUUGCAUUUAUUCAUUAAUAGAUUGUCCGGCCACAUUCCUUCAUCCAUAGAAGCUCUCAACCUGAAAGAAAUUGAUAUUUCCGACAACCAUUUGACGGGGUCCAUACCAACGGGUUUCGAGAAGCUACAAAAUUUGACGGGUUUGAAUCUUUUCUGGAAUCAGUUGUCAGGAGAGAUACCAGCAAAUAUAAGCCUCAUUCCUACACUGGAAACCUUCAAAGUUUUUAGCAAUCAAUUGAGUGGAGUUUUACCUCCAACAUUUGGCCUUCAUUCGGAGCUCAAACUCUUUGAGGUUUCCGAGAAUAAACUAAGCAGGGAAUUACCUCAACAUUUAUGCGCUAAGGGGGCUUUGCUUGGAGUGGUCGCUUCCAACAACAAUCUCAGCGGGGAAGUGCCCAUGUCCCUCGGGAAUUGCACAAGUUUGCUCACCAUUCAGCUUUCCAACAAUUGUUUUUCAGGCGGGAUUCCUUCCGGCAUUUGGACAUCCCCGGACAUGGUAUCAGUGAUGUUAGAUGGAAACUCAUUCUCAAGGACACUUCCAAGUAAAUUGGCAAGGAAUUGUCUAGAGUGGAGAUCACUAACAGCAAGUUUUAUGGUCCAAUUCCUGCUGAAAUCUCUUCCUGGAUGAACAUCUCUGUGCUCAAUGCCAGCAACAAUAUGUUGUCUGGAAAAAUUCCAGUGGAAUUGACCAGUCUUUGGAACACCACUGUUCUGUUGCUUGAUGGGAAUCAAUUCUCGGGUGAACUUCCAUCCCAGAUCAUCUCAUGGAAGUCGCUCAAUAAGUUAAAUCUCUCAAGAAACAAACUUUCUAGCCUAAUUCCCAAGGCAUUAGAUUCUUUAACUAGCCUUAGUUACCUCGACCUGUCAGAAAACCAGUUCUCAGGUCAAAUUCCUCCUGAACUUGGCCAUUUGAACCUUAUUAUCCUCCAUCUUUCGUCCAACCAACUCUAUGGGAUGGUCGCCAUUGAGUUUCAACAUGAAGCAUAUGAAGACAGUUUCUUGAACAAUCCCAAGUUGUGUGUCAAUGUUCCCUCUCUGAACCUCCCUAGAUGUGAUGCCAAACCUGUCAACUCCGACAAAUUGUCAACCAAAUAUCUCGUUAUGAUCCUAAUUUUUGCUCUAUCUGGUUUCCUAGCUGUUGUUUUCGUCACCCUGUCCGUGGUUCAUGUCUAUCAUAGGAAGAAUCACAGUCAGGAGCAUACAGCUUGGAAAUUUACUCCAUACCAUAAACUAGAUCUCGAUGAAUACAACAUAUUGUCCAGUUUGACAUAAAAUAAUCUGAUCGGAUGUGGUGGGUCAGGGAAAGUAUACCGAAUUGCUAAUAAUCGUUCUGGUGAACUCUUAGCGGUUAAAAUGAUUUGUAAUAACAGGAGAUUGGAUCAAAAGCUUCAGAAACAAUUCGAAACAGAAGUCAAGAUAUUGAGCACCAUACGCCAUGCCAAUAUAGUGAAGUUGUUGUGUUGCAUAUCAAAUGAAACCUCAAGUCUUCUUGUUUACAAGUACAUGGAGAAGCAGAGUUUGGAUAGAUGGCUUCAUGGGAAGAAGCAAAGAACAUCGUCCAUGACAAGUUCAGUUCAUAACUUCGUCUUGGAUUGGCCAACAAGGUUGCAGAUUGCCAUUGGACCUGCAAAAGGCCUAUGCCACAUGCAUGAAUACUGUUCUGUCCCAAUCAUACAUCGAGAUGUGAAGUCCAGCAACAUCUUGCUAGAUGCCGAGUUCAAAGCGAAAAUUGUGGAUUUUGGAUUGGCUAAGACGUUGGUCAAGCAAGGAGAACCCAACACCAUGUCAGGAAUUGUAGGCUCUUACAGGUAUAUUGCCCCUGGUAAGACCAUCAAGGCCCUCCUUUCCACAUGUUUUCAUUUCCAUAAUUUAUCGAUAAUUUGUAUCAUACCAUUCUCGUAUACUUGGAUCAUAGAGUAUGCUUAUACAACAAAGGUGAACAAGAAGAUCGAUGUAUAUAGCUUUGGAGUAGUCUUGCUUGAGCUUGUGACGGGAAGAGAACCCAACAAUGGGGACGAGCACAUGUGCCUUGCAGAAUGGGCAUUGGAUCAGUUUAGAGAAAGGAAAACCAUUGAGGAAGUGGUAGACGAGGAGAUCAAGGAACAAUGUGAUAGAGCACAAGUGGCCACUCUCUUCAAACUAGGCAUUAGGUGCACUAACAAAUUACCAUCCAAUAGGUCCACAAUGAAAGAGGUUUUGAAAAUUCUUCAACAGUGCAGUCCUCAAGAGGGCCAUGGAAGAAAUAAAAAGGACCAUGAAGUUGCACCUCCACUUCAAAAUGGCACUUAUCCCACCACUUACAAGUUGUGAGGAUAAAGCCCUUAAAAACAUGAUAUUAUGUAAUAAAUUUGGAACUCAUUAUUUAUUUAACGAUGUUCUGAUUUCACUUUUAUCUAUUCUUAUUCCAUGUAUUAUACUUUAUGAGCAUUCUUGUCUGCAUCUUUUGCAUUGCACGUAACUUAGGUGCAUUAAAAGUUGCACAGAAGAUCUAGGUCAUGGGUUCCUCGCAAAUAUAUGACUUGUUCACAACCAGUUCAUGGGUCUAGGAAGCCCAUUAGAGGUUGUAAAAAACCACUUCCUAAUUGGAAGAAUGGCUAGUCUUAGCUAUUGGGAUGAGUUUUCCAUGAUAAGUGCAUUAGUGUGUAUGGUUACAUAUUGGACAAGACCUAUGGUGAAUCAUGACUUAAGGUUAUCAAGCAGUCAUGACCUCAUCAAACUGCUUCAUUGUGUUGUCUCUCAACCUUGAGAGAAUAUUGAGCUUGUACUAAAGUUAGCAAUGACUUUGACAUACAGGUGAGAUCGUAAGUUGAUCAUAUAUUCCCUAUGGAUUGAGUCACUGUUGAUGGAAGAUGGUAGCGAUAGGUAUUUUCAAUAAAAACACCAUGAUGUUUCUUGGGAUUAAGACAAUGUGCCCCUUUUGGUGAUCUUAAAGAGGUGUGUUCAUGGAAACUAUGGUCAUAGUAGUUCCUUAAGUAAAAAUCGACAUAGGCUCUUUGAGAGGUAAGACAUGUCAAUUGAAUACACAAUAGGAGGAUUUAUAACUCAAGGAUGGUAGAGGUAGUCUUGAAAGACUAAUAACUUUCACUUUGUUAGACUAUGAAUAUCAGUUCAUGGGAAGACUAAACACAAUAAAUAGCAAGUCACAAACCUGAACAUUUGGUAUCUCAUUGUUAUUUUCAAUAAAAUAACAAUGAGAUGGUAAGUUGAUCAUAUAUACCCUAUGGAUUGGGUCACUGUUGAUGGAAGAUGGUAGCAAUAGGUAUUUUCAAUAAAAGCACCAUAAUAUCUCUUGGGAUUAAGACAUUGUGCCCCCUUGGGUGAUCCUAAAGAAGUGUGUUCAUGGAAACUAUAGUCAUAGUAAUUCCUUAAGUAAAACUCAACAUAAGCUUUUUGAGAGCUAAGACAUGUCAAUUGAAUACACACUAGGAGGAUUUCUAACUCAAGGAUGAUAGAGGUAGCCUUGAAAGACUAAUAACUUUCACUUUGUUAGACUACGAACAUCAGUUCAUGGGGAGACUAAACACAAUAAAUAGCAAGUCACAAGCUCGAGCAUUUGGUAUCUCAUUGUUAUUUACAUAGGAUACCGGAGUUCAAUUGAUUCUUUGUAGUGGGAUGUUGAAUCAACUUUAGAAUUGGAUUUUGAGAGAGUCGGUAUUCCUAUGGGUCCCAAUGGUCCUUACUCUAAGCUUAUAUACUUUGUUGGCAAGGAUUAUAAGAGUCGGAUUAGCUCUAGGUUUACUUUUGUACAUAAGGGCAUUUUGAUAAUUACGCAAGGUUACACAAAGGUAAAUGAACAAGGUUUUUAGAUUGGGUUAAUUGAUUAAUUAGUAGGCCCUGUUUGGUUAAUUAAUCAAUUAGGACUUUCUAUAUUAAGUGACCUAAGCCCUUAGUGGGCUCAAGUCACUUAAACCUAAUAGAAAACCCUAUAAAUACCCCCUUAAGGGUUAGAGUUUAUAUAGUUUUUCUAAAAAGCCAUCUUCUAUCUCUAAAGAGAAAGAGAAAGAGUCAUAGCAUCCACCCUCCCUUCUAUCUCCACUAGAAGUGUGUCGAUCAAGGUUCAAGUCAUUGGGAGGAAAACUUUGAAUUUACGAGACUUCUGCGAUUUCGUUCUUCAUUUUCACAAUGUGGAUUUGAUUCGAGAACAUCCGAAUUUGAGGUAUGGUUUUCAUUAGCACUUUUUGAAUCCCUUUAAAGUUUAAAAAUGUUAUUUUUCCGUUGUGCAUAGGAUUAAUUUAGAAAAUGCUUAGAAUAGUUAUGCAAGUUCCUAACCUGAUCUGAGCUUAGGAAAUGGAGAGAACCUAGUUUUUUCCCUUAAUGUUUGUGCUCCAAAGUGUUGAGAUAGUUUAGAGGGUGACAUGAUGAUUGACAUAAUACCUUAUGUGGAGAACCUAGUGAAUCCCUUCUCCAAGACAUUGAUAGGGAGAGUCUUUGUUAGUCACAUGGAUAGCAUAGGUUUUAAAUGAGUAUUUGGCAUGCUUUAAAGGCAUGAUGCUUUGAGGGCUAAUGGGAGAAUGUUAGGAUAAAGCCCUUAAAAGCAUGACAUGAUGUAAAAAAUUUGGAAUUCAUUAUUUAUUUAAUGAUGUUCUAGUUUCACUUUUAUCAAUCCUUAUUCCAUGUAUUAUACUUUAUGAGCAUUCUUAUUUGCAUUUUUUGCAUUGUACAUGACUUAAGUGCAUUAGGAGUUACAUAGAAGAUCUAAGUCAUGGGUUUCUUGCAAAUAAAUGACUUGUUCACAACUGAUUCAUGGGUCUAGGCAACCCACUAGAGGUUGUAGUGCAUCAUACCACCUUCUAAUUGGAGGGAUGACUAGUCUUAAUUAUCAGGAUGAGUUUCCCAUGGUGAGUGCAUUACUGUGUAUGGUUACACAUUAGACAAGACCUAUGGUGAGUCAUGACUUAAGGCUAUCAAGUAGUCAUGACCUUACCAACCAACUUCAUUGUGUUAUCUCUCAACCUUAAAAGAAUAUUCAGUUUAUACUAAAGUUAAUAAACUGAAGUUAGCAAUGGCUUUGACAUACGAGUGAGAUCAUAAGCUAAUCAUAUAUUCCCUAUGGAUUGGGUCAUUAUUGAUGGAAGGCGUGAAAGGCAGACGCCCGGGCACGCAAAGCCCGUCUCAACGAACGGGAGGAGAAAAGGCAAGAAGGAACUUUGCGGAAGGCUCUUGGUGAUAAACGCCCCGCAUCCCCUCCACCUGCUGGCGCACUAGAUAAAAAGAAGAAGAAGCAGGUUUUCAACAAGGGAAAAGAAAUAAAACUCUCAUCUCCCCCAAAGGAAGUUGUAAUACCACCUCCAACUUUCGUAAGAGGAAUAACAAUAAGAACGCCAGAUCUCUCCGUUUUGCCCUCUGUUUCAAGCGGCUCCAGACAUAUCGCGUAUCUAAAUGGAUCGGGGCCUUCAGUGCCAGUGCCAGCGGCUAGACGGCUGGCUCUUCUGGCUGAGGAAGCGACUUCAGUGAAUCAGCCCGACUCUCCUUAUCCGGACGCGAAUGUAGCCGGGGCCUCUUGUACUUAAACGUUGCUUCUUAUGGCGCCUUUAACGGAAGAAACAGGGGUUGAAAGUCAGGGUUUGCCUCAUUGCGAACCAAGCUUCCUUGCCCUUGUACCGGUGAAGGGGCCAGCUAUAAGGAGGUCUCAUCCGGCCCGUGAUUUAAAGUCUGGCAUUAGCGGGCGGCUUCAGGACAUUCUUCUGGAAACCAUCGAAGUCAGCUGCUCAUCCGCCCAGGAGGAUCAUCCGGAGGAGAGUGAGACGGAGAUGGCAGAAGAGAACCCAACCGCCCCGGUGCUGGUCCCGGAUGAGGGUUCACCCGAAGAGAUCCAGCCGGCCGUGAAUAAUGGGGCCCUAGAUCCGAGGGAGGAGUCACACCCUACCGCCUCGUCAAGGGGAAGUCUAGUUGAUGAUGCGGCUUGCAUCUCCGCUAGCCCUUUCAAUUAUGCGGAGUUGGGAGAGAUGCUGAAACGGAUUCCACCCGGCUCAGAUGUUGAUGUGCCUUCAGCAAAAAUGUUUGAAGUGGCGGAAAUGGUAUAGUUUUACUUCUUGAUUUUUCUUGCCAUACUGAUGUGUUUGUCACAUGGGUUGUAAUUUUGUACUUCUUGUUUGUGGGUUUUUCUGCAGCUGGUGAGCGGUAUUCGUGGCAUGGCUUAACAACAUGAUCUUUUUUCAGACCUGCUGCGUACUGCCGAUUAUAUGAAGGUCUUCGUCUCCCAUCGCAUAAACAGUAAAGAAGAACUGCGCUUGAGAUUGGAGCAGGCCGAAGCUAGUUUAUCCGCUGCCCGGAGGGCCUCUGAAGAGAGUGUCGAAGCUUUGAAGAAAUCCCAAGAGGACAACGAGGUUCUCCGGGUAGAGCUAGCUGAGCCAAAGAGUCGGGAGGAAUCUACAGACGCCCGUCUGCAUGAGGCGGAGGGUGAGAUGGCCCAGUUGAGGGGAGAAGUGAGGCAACUCCGGACAGAGGUGUCCAUUGAGAAAAAGCAGAGAGAGGACUUGCAGUUGCGUUUAUCAGCGCAAAAAGAAGAGUUCGAGGCUGAGUUUGCUGCGAAAAGGGAGGAACUCGAGACGAACUACCAGAAGUAGGUAGAUGAGAUGUAUAUCUUUGGCUACCGCUGUUGCAUGAAGAAGCAUGGCAUCAAACGGGACGUCCCUUCGAUUCCCCCGGGUGAGGAAGAAAAGUUGCGUCGCAAGCCCUCCCAAUGAGAGUUUUUCUUUUUUUAUCUUUUAUUGCUUUUUUCUUUUUGUAUUUUGUAGUCCGGAGAACCUUUUUUGUAUACAAUUUUCACAAGUAUUAAUAAAACAUACUCAUUCACAUUGUACUUGUAUCUUUCUUUCAUUAGUAAUACUGCUUUAAAUUGGACACAUUCCAUGGUCGGAGCAAUGGGGUUCCAUCUAGCUUUUGUAGAUGAUAGACUCCAUUUUCACUUGUCUUGGAUACUAUAUAGGGGCCUUCCCAAUUGGCUUGAAACUUUCCUGCUCCUGUCUCAACAGUGUUUUCGAAAACCUUCCUAAAGACCAGCAUUCCACUUUUGAAACUUCUGGGCCUUGCUUUGCGAUUGUAGUGAGCGGCUGCCCUUUGUUGAUAGUCUGCCAUCCGGAUGGAUGCGGUUUCUCUUACUUCGUCUGCCCAGUCCAAGUUUCUUCCUAACUUCGCACUUGCAUUAUCCUGACUUCCUGCCUCGGUCCGGAUAGUGGGUAGCCCUAUUUCAGUAAGAAUGACUGCGUCCAUACCGUAUGCGAGGGCGAAGGGAGUGUUUCCUGUCGGACGUCCGGGUGUGGUUCGAUAAGCCCACAGGACGCCGGGUAGCUCCUCUACCCAUUUCCCUUUGGCUUGCUCGAGCCUCUUCUUUAAGGCAGUUAUUAGGGUCUUGUUUGUGGCCUCUGCUUGUCCAUUGCUUUGAGGAUAACGCGGUGUGGAGUAUGCAUUUCGGAUGUUUAGUUCCGAAUAGAAAUCCCGAAAAGUUUUGCUAUCGAAUUGUGGACCGUUGUAGGCUAUAAUGGUUUGGGGGAUUCCAAAGCGGCAGAUGAUGUUCUUCCAUACGAACUUGGUGACAUCUUUGUCUUUGAUGCUAGCGUAUGCUUCUACUUCCACCCAUUUACUGAAGUAAUCCAUGGCGACGAGUAGGAAUUUUUUCUGGGCAGCUGCGGCUGGUAGGGGUCCUACUAUGUCCAUGCCCCACUGCGCGAAAGGCCAGGGACCUGAAAUUGGUUUCCACGUCUCCGACGGCACAUGUGGUAUGGGGACAUGCCUUUGACAUUUGUCACAUUUUUUUACGUAGGCUGCCGCAUCCUUUUUCAUCGUGGGCCAGUAAUACCCUUGCGAAUAGGCCCUGUGCGCCAGAGAUCGACCUCCAGAAUGAUUUCCACAUACUCCCUCGUGCAAUUCAGCUAAUACAUACAGGGCCUCUUAGUGGUUUAGGCACCGGAGAUAGGGACCUGUGAAGGACUGUUUAUACAAAUGCCCCCCAAUCAGGGUGAAACGGGCGGCUUGUAGCUUGUGUGUCUGCUUGGGCUCUUCGAGCAGAGUGCCUGUCUGGAGGUACCUUAUAAUGUCUUCCGUCCACUCUUGGCCGUCUGCUUGGUUUGCCUCAAUGGUAUUGCAAAUGGAAGCUUCUGUGACGGAAGGGUUGACUUGCACAUGUAUAGGCAACAAUAUGGCUUCUUUGAUGGGGAGGGAGGCAGCUAUGCCUGCCAGGGCGUCGACACGUCCAUUUUCAGCUCGUUUAAUUUUUUCGAUCGUCCAUUCGGUGAACCGUUGUAAGGUGUCCCUUACUUUAGUCAGAUACAGUGCCAUGCGCGCAUUCUUAGCUUCGUAUUCCUUUUGGACGUGCCUUACCACGAGUUGAGAAUCACUAUAGACCCGGAGCCUUGAGACGGAUAGAGCCAGGACGAGGUCCAAUCCGAAUAGAAUGGCCUUAUACUCCGCUUCAUUGUUAGAGACGGGAAACCCCAGCCGGAUGGCUUGCUCCAGAUGUUCUCCUGUUGGGGACUAUAGCAGGAGCCCUACUCCGGAUCCUGAUGAUCAGGAGGUUCCAUCGACCCGCAAAGUCCACCACUCUUUUUCACUUGGUUCCUUGUGCUGGGUAGGCUUUUGGGAGUAUUCCAGCACAAAGUCAGCCAUCACUUGACCUUUCAUGGACAACCUGGGUUGGAACUCAAUUCCAUAUUCGCUCAACUCUAUGGCCCAUUGAAGCAUUCUUCUGGUUAGGUCCGGCUUAUGCAAAAUGUUGCAAAGAGGUUGGUCUGUUAGCACGACCACCGGGUGGGCUUGGAAGUAAGGGCGGAGCUUCUAGGCGGCACUUCAAAGAGCUAAGGUCAUUAGCUCCAUCUUUGAAUACCUGGUUUCUACGUCCGUCAACGCUCUGCUGACGUAGUAGAUAGGUUUCUGCUCCUUAGGUGAGGAGCAGCAGAAUAGAACAACGCUAAUUGCUCACUCCGAUACAGCCAAAUACAUAUACAAUUUUUCUUCAGGGAGGGGGUUGCUUAGGAUGGGCGGUUGCAUGAGGCAGUGUUUAAUUUUUUUCAAAAGCGCUCUAACAGCUGUCUGUCCAUCCGCUUGCUCCAUUUUUUCAUAUUGCCAAGAAGAAAGGUCGCAGUUCAUCAAUGAAGCGGGCUAUAAAGCGUCCUAGCGCGACGAGCUUGCCUAUGAGGCGCUAUAAUUCCUUCUUGCUCCUGGGGGGUGGUGUUUCCAUGACUGCCUUGACUUGAUCCGGGCUGACCUCUAUCCCCCUUUGGCUGACCAUAAAUCCUAGGAAUUUGCCAGCACUUACGCCAAAGGCGUAUUUAGAAGGAUUCAACCUCAUGUCAUACUUCUUUAAGAGGUGGAAGACUUCUUGCAAGUGGAGGACAUGUUCCUCUCGGGUUUUGCUUUUAACCACGAUAUCGUCAAUAUAUACCUCUACUGUGCGGCUGACCAGAGGUUUGAAGAUCUUUGUCAUCAGUCUCUAAUAAGUGGCGCCAGCGUUUUUGAGUCCGAACGGCAUGACUUUGUAGCAAUAAAGGUCGUGUGGUGUUAUGAAGGCUGUCUUUUCUUCGUCAGCCAGGGACAUGGGGAUUUGGUGGUAUCCGGAGAAGGCGUCCAAGAAGGAAAGCAUCCCUUGCCCAGUAGUGGAGUCCACAAUUUGAUCUAUCCGUGGCAAAGGGAAACUGUCUUUUGGGCAUGCAUUAUUGAGGUUGGUGUAGUCGACGCACACCCGCCAUUUGCCUUCUUUUUUGGGUACCACCACUACAUUUGCCAACCAGUCCAGGUAAUCCACUUCUCUGAUGAAUCCGACUUCUAACAAAUUGUCAAUCUCAUUCCAGAUAAUUUUUUGUCUGUCCGGGUGAAAACGUCUAACCCUCUGUCAGACGAGUCUUGCUAUGGGCAAGACAUUAAGCUUAUGGGAGACGAUGGAGGGGUGAAUCCCCUUCAUAUCAUAAUGCGCCCAUGCGAAAAUGUCAUGGCUUUGUUGGAGGGCGUUUUGGAUGUUCCGGGUCUCUUCUAGAGUUAGGAGAGAACUGAUAUAUGUAAGGUGAGUAAGUACCUUCUUUCGAAAUUUGGAUCGCCUGCAAGGGAUCCGCUUCCGGGGGAUCUUUGUCUGUCAGACUCAAUAAUUGCUAUUGGUCACGUGCAUGGCUGGACUCAGGGAGGGAUGCAUCCUCCUGGCUGGUCUCUGCUUCUCGUGCUAUCUAGUAGCAUUGGUGAGCAGCUAACUGGCUGCCGUAUAAGUCAAUUUGCCCAUCCUUGGUAAGGAAGCUUACCAUUUGAUGAUAUGUAGAGGGGAUGGCUUUCAUGUAGUGCAGCCAUGUGCGCCCCAAGAUGACAUUGAAGGAUGAUAAGUCUUGUACCACCAAAAAUUGUACGUUGAGAAUGACUAGGUCAGCUUGGACCGGCAGUACAAUGUCUCCCAAUGAAGUAGUUGACGCCCCGUUGAAUCCGGACAAGAUUCGCCCAGGUUUUUCGAGGCCUGUGAGACUGUGCCCCAUGUGGCUAACGACCGAUGCUUGUACAAGAUCGGCCAAGCUGCACGGGUCAAUUAGGAUGCGUCGCACGUCGAAAUCUCCUAUCUCUAGGGACAGGAUGAGGGCGUCGCGGUGCGGCUGUAAUAUCCGGGUGGGGUCUACUGGUAGGAAAAUGAUUGUCCCAUCUAUGGGGCGAGGGCCCCCCCAGUUAUCCUAGGCCGGAUGGAGUUGACACACUCGCGCACCGAUGCUGGUCGCAACAACUUUUGUCUCUUUCGUUUGGAAUCGUACUCCUCGUCGGAUGGGCCUCCGUUAAUAUAGUUUAUAACGGCUUUAGAGGUGGUUGGGGCCCUAGGGGCUCCAGAGUUGUGAUUUCGAGAAGCGUCUUCACCUCUGGCAUCUGAGCGGAGGUAUUGCUUUAAAUGUCCCGCCUUUAUGAGCCUUUCGACCAAAUGAUGGAGACACCUGCACGCCUCCGUUGUGUGACCAUGCUCCUUAUGGAAGACACCUGAACUCUCCUCUGGGAUUCAGCAAUUUAUGAAUGUAUCUUUAGGCCCAUGUAGAUAAAUCCAUGCUUGGUGGUAGUAUGCUUAUUGAUGAUAGUCUAGAGAUGUGGAAAUCAAAUGAUUCUGAUGAACUAAAUUUGAUGCGUGAUGAGAUAGAUGACGUGUUAUCUAAGGAUCACAAAGUUCAUCAAUAGAAACUCGUUUGAUGAUGCGUCAAUCUGAUGGAGAGAAUCCGUUGAUAAAAAAUGAUGAAAUGCCAAUUUGAAGAUAAUGACUGCGAUUCAUCUCCGAAGAUGAAUCUAAUGAGAACGUUCAGGAUUCAGAAAUGGAGAGCUAUAAUGGCAGUGGUGAUUUGCAACAACAUCGAUCUCUGGUGGCAGUGACAGCAAACUCUAAUGGUGGUAAACUACGCCGACAGAGACAAUCUCCAUGAAUUGCGCAACAAACUUCAAUGGCGAUCUCCAGUGGUGGUGAUGAAUUCUCCUACAACAAUGAACUCUCAUUCUCCUGUAGAGAUGAACUCUCAGAUGUCGGUGAAUUAUUUUUAUAUAUUUUUUUAAUAAAUUUUAAAUGAAAUAAAAUAAAUAAAUAAAUUUUAAAUCAAUAAAUUAAUUUUAUAUAUUUUUUUAAACUCAUUUAACUUAUUUUAAAUUUUCAAUUAUAAAAUUAAAUAAUUUGAAAAUAUAUAAAUUUAUAACUAAUUUUAAUUAUAUUUUAUUUUCUUUUAUAAUUUUCAUAUAUAGUAUAACCAAUACCAAUGUUUUCAAAAUCAGACCGCUGCUUGAACCGGAAAAGUUACCGGUUCACGAUUCACGAUUCACGAUUCAUUAAUUGAACUGGUGGUCAAACCGUAGUCAAAUCAAUGACAUCAUAAAUAAUAAUUUUUUUCUUUUUUCUCACUAACUAAUCCCACAUCGGAAAUGGAUAAAAAAUAUGUAGGAAUUGUGGUAUAAAAGGCAAGCUAGAAUCAUUAACUUGCAAGACUAAAAGCUUAUUGGGCUUGAUGACAAACAAGUUGGAUGGGCUCCUCAUGGAGUGAUCCGGUUCUCUUAUGGUAUCAAAACCUUUUUUUUUUUGUUUUAAAAUAAAUAAAUAAAUAAAUUGUUCGGUUCGCUAAGAAUCGCCUGGUUGGGGCGGUUCACUAGCUCAACCACUGGUUUGAUGCCCAAACGGUUUUUUGGGUGGACCAAACUGGUUUUGUUACCGAUCGGACCAACUGGUCCGGUCCAAUUUUUAAAUCAUUAUCAAAUACAAUAAAAUAAUUUUUUUUAACAUUUUUUUUAUUUUUUUAGUACUUCUCAAAAAUCAAACAUAAUCAUAAGACUAAUCAUAUUUUUUAUCAUAAUAUCAUUCGAAGACAAUGCCCCAAGUGAGAAUCCCAAAACUUUUCAAUGUUUUACUAAUAUUAAGAUUUUGAAAAUCUAUACAAUUUAUUUUUCUUUUUCUUUUUUUAAUAUUUGGAUGAUAGUGCAUGAGUAUACAAGAAAGGUCAACGCAAAGAUCAAUGUCUACAAUCUUGAAAUUGCACUUCCAGAGUUGGGCCCUAAAAGAGAACCCAAUAAGGGGAAGGGGCAGCGUAUAAACCUUGUUCAAUGGGCAUGAAAACACCUUGGAGAAGGAAAGUCAUUCCUCUACCGGUUGACUAAUAAUUUGAUGGUAAUGACAGUAGUUCGGAUCAUUAACAUGACUCAUUUCUUCUAAACAUUUGCACUUAGGUAGCUCAAUAACUUUUUUAUGGAAUAGGUCUUCCAACAUGUUAGGCACAUCAGAGUCAGGAAAAUGAUAUUUCUUAUCCUUUAAUUCCUUCAAGGUGAAUCGACGCCUCUCAUUUUCCUAAAUUGGUCUAGUCUCUCUUACUUCCUUCUUUUUAUCUCGUGCUGAGAUUUUGAUGGGCGUUAUAUUUACUGUCAUUGACUUGUGGAUGGGUUUUAUUGAGGCCCGAUCACUUGUUUUCUCAUCAUGUCUCUCUCUUUACCGAUCAACAAUUAAUAAGGUCUUUUUUAGCACCAUGGUUAGCUAUGUUGAGCUUCAUGUCAUGUGCUCAAGUAGUUAACUGUUCAAAAAUGUGAGGUCAUAUCCCUUAGAGGAUGUACAAAACACCCCAAUGCAUUCCUUGUAUGCACAUUUCCAUGGCUGAUACAUCAAAUAAUCUAUCUUUGUAGUCGAAACUUAAAGAACGCCAAUGAUUGACGUAGUUUACGACCGGCUCAUAUUUCCAUUGCUUAGUAUUAGUAAGCUCCAUCAUGCUUACAGUCCGUCGGGUGCUAUAGAAAUGGUUGAGGAAUUUGCAUUCCAUUUGGCUCUAACUAUCGAUACACUUAGGUGUAAGGUCUAUGUACUAAUGAAAGCAUUCCCUCAAAAGGAACGAACAAAUUGUUUAACUAACAAGUCACUAUGUGCACUUGCAUUGUUAGAAGUUUUAACGAAAUGACAUGUUGUUUUGGAUUUCUCUUCCCAUAAAAUGAUUGAAACUUUGGAGGUUGAUAACCUACAAGCAUACAUAGGUUAUCAAUCCUCUUAGUGUAAGGUUUAGAGUACAUAAGUGUACUCUGUGAGGGUCCAUCGUACCGCACUCUAAUGGUGUUAGUUAUUAUGUCUUGAAGUUGCUAGACAGAUAACAACUCCAUCGAGGCAAAUUCCAUCAUUUUUCUUUCGACUUGCACUGUUCUAGAUGCAUGUGGUGCAUCAUCGAGAAGAGAUGCAACAUUCAAAAGGUGGUUAAGUCUUUAACUUGACUCACUUGUAUUUUGUACUUGUGCCUCAACCUUGUUUAUGAGAGAGGCUAUCUGCAUAUCAUUCUCCUCGACUAUCGUAGUGAAUUUGGUAAUGGUGUCAGUCAUCUCUACCAAUUGUUCCUCUAUAGAUGUAGUACCAACUGUCAUUACCGGCAUAGUCAUUGAGAUGAGAAAAAUAAAAUAGUCGAAAUGAUUGGAGUAGUUUUCCUCAUUCGACAUUCCAAUUGGUGAUUCGGAGUGUGAGCUGGUGCUAGAGUUAAUAUUGGUAAUAAAGCAAGGAGACUCAUCCCGAAAGUCCUUUAGUGCUAAAGAGAGUUUUCCCCUACUAUGAGGAUUGUGGCUCUUUGCCCCUAAGGAGGCCAAAGUGAUGAAUGGUUGGUGUUCAUCAUGUGUCCUUACCGAUUUUAGUAGACAAGUAGACCUAUUUAUUUCGUUGAAAGUGAAGAUGUUGAUUUUGAUUUGCUACGAGUCAUGGGACCCAUAGCAGUGUUGUGUGUUGAUUAUGCAAUGAUGAUCUUGUCAUUGUCCUUGUUGACAUGCACAACUUGAGUUCUUUUGGAUAUCAUCAACGUAGUAGAGAUCAAUCUUCUAACAAAAGAUAUGAGAGGCAGAGAGAUCCCAUCAAACAUGCUAGAAAUUUGUAUGCACAAAUUUCAUAAAGGUCCUGCAAAAUUAGCAAAACAAUACGAAAAUAAUGUGAACAAAAUAUUUAUCAAAAUUAAAAAUAUUGUGGUAUAAUAUAAAAAAUAAUACUCUUUACAAAACAAUAUUUUUUUCUCUAAUUUUUUUUGCCUUGAUCACAAUUUGAAAGACGACAAUGUCGUUUUCUUAUUUUGAAGAUUAAUUGAGGGCCACAAGUGACUUAUUCCUAAAUGAACACGUUGAAUGAUGAAGAACGCAUGUAGCAAUUCUAUCAUUUGCCGAACCUAUAGGGAGAUUCGAUGAUUUUUUUUUUUUUUUUUUUUUGUAAAGCCUUUUUUCCCAUACAAAGUUACCUCUAGAUUUUCUUCUUUAGGAUUUUCUUUUCUAGAUUUUUCUAAUUUUUGAGUUUCUCCCAUUUCUUGAAAGAAUUCACCUCUAUUUAUAGGUGAAGGUAGGAAAUUCGAAUUUUGAAUUCCCAAAUUUUAGUUGCUUAAUUCAAGGAAUUUAGUUAACUUUUCUUCUUGAGAAGGUUUCUCAUGAUGAUGAUGAUGAUAAUAAUAAUAAUAAUAAUAAUAAUAAUAUUUUUUUAAUUAUCAUUAUUAUUAUAUUUUCGAUUUUUUUAGGAAACUUAUUCGUAAUAGGAUAUUUAUUUAUUUAUUUAUUUUGAAUAUCAAAUUAGUGGUAAUUAAUCCACUAAAAUUUUUAUGUCUACAUCCUUAUCCACAAGUGUAGAGACAAAUAUGUCGUAAGUAAAUAAACUAUGAAUGACUUCAUUUGAGCUUAAAAUAAUAAAUUAAGCAAAUAAGCAUGUAGUAAAAUUAGAACUUACGACCCUCCUACUAAAUAAAGCUCUAAUAAUAUGUUGGAUAAUUGAUUUUUUUAAAAGCUUAAACUUAAGAUUUGCAUCCCGAUGGAUGUGCAUCAUGUUUUCUAAUAAUAUAUCACAUACUUUUCUAGAUUUUAUGUUAGACUUGUGAUUACUUCUCUAAAUUAAUUUUUCAGCAUAUUGUAUAUAUGCAUUUGUUAGGAUGAAUCAAUUAUCAAUCAAUGCAGAAAUACAAGUACUCCUCAUAGAGCCUCUCUACUUAUUUCCACUACAACAGCUUAGUUGGUUGAACUUAAAAGAAUUCCUAAGUGCUUUCACAAAUGUUUUGAACUUCAAACCUGCACAAAGAUGGAAACCAUAUCAUUGAAAUAAUUAAAACAAAUCAACUGAAAUCAAACUGCUAUUGCCUUGUUUAAAAAUUUAAAGAAAAAAACAAAAAAAAAAUCAUGGGCUUUUACGCAAAACUUAACAGUAGGGUUCCCAAAGUUCAUUAUUCAGAAUACUAACAAGUGUCAUGUAUCAGUUCAACUCGGCACCUUCUUCCAUAAAUAAAUUAUAUUUGCUUUGGAAGAAAACUUGAGUUUUGAACAAAUAUAAUAUAUUUGAAAAAAAAAUCCAUAAAAUGGAUCUUCAAUCAAAAUAAUUCUCAAAAUAGUGUAUUUGUACUUGGGCAUCCAAAUAGUUUGAGAAUAUUUUUUAUGUGAUAAAAUCCUAAUUGAUAACUAUGAUUUUAAUUUAUUUUUUUUAAAUAUAAAACCGCUGUUGGUAAUUAUAGUUUUAACCAUUUUAAAAGAAAAUUCAAAAUCAUAAUUAACAACUAUAGUUUUAUAAGGUGGAUAUGUUAGCUCUUUUCUUAUAAUGUGUGAUCAUAUAUAAUUAUAUUUGUGUAAAUAUUAUUUAAGAGUAUCAAUUGAUAGAUAGGUGAAUCAAUUGAUUGGGCAUUCAAGAGUCUUAUGUAUGGAAGACUCAAAUUAUAAAUGGGGAGUUAGAAAAUUUAAUUUAUAUGAAUGUGGUGUUUAUAACCCCAUCAUUAUGAAAUUUAUUUUGUACAUUAUAUUUAUGAGUAAUAGAGGAAAAUGAAAAACUAUAACCUAUGCAUUUAUAUAAAUGCAUUCAAGUUCAUAACUCACCAUUACCCAUUAAUUUGUACAUAAUAGGUGUAAAUAAUGAGUAUAACUCUCGUAUAAUCUUUUAUAAGAAGACUAAGAGAUGUACAACUUUUUAUAAGUUAAGGUCUCAAGUCACAUUCUCAUUCUUAUGUCAUUUUGUUGUUUUAUUUUUUAACAACAUACACCACAUAAGUGACUCAUCCACUAUAUGAGAGUAGUGAGUUGAAGACUUUGACAAUACAAUUCACAAAAUGAUUCAAUUUCACUUCAAAAAUGAUAUUGAUAUUAUGGAUCAAGGUAAGAAUAUGAUCAUUAUUUUAAUAUUUAUAUUUAUUUUGUUUUAUGCAUUCAAAAUUAUUUUUUUUUAAAUAAUGAUUUCCACAUAAAGUUUAUAAAAGUUUAGUUAACAGGAAACCCAUGUGGAUGAGAUGCACUAAAAUUAUUCUGAGAUGGAAUCUAACCUGUGGAAUUUUUUUUAAAUAAAUUAUUUUUGUUCAAAACUUAGAAAAAAAAACUUGUUGAAAACUAAAUUCAACUAUACACUUUCGUAUUUUUCUUUUUAUAAGAUCAAAUCCACGUUAUCACUUUUCCACUAGAAUCCUCAUGAUUAAUUGUAGAAUUCUUGAGAUGAAAUGAAAUGGUUGUUGAAACUUCAGUUUUCAAUCUUGAUCAAUGUUGUCCCUUCCCUUAGCUGUGCAUUAUUCCAAUGCCAGUUUUUCUCCACAAACUUAGUCCAGAGACAAGAUUAGAUUCCGUGUGGAACCAUUCAUGUGUGGAUCCCGUUGUGAGACUUGACCAUCAAUAUCCUUCUCUCCAUUUGUGGGGUACUGCCCACGUGACCACUGCUUUGGAAAUUUGAGUAACACACCUAAAUUCUCAAAGACCCAAAACUACAGAUUUCUGCUUCAUCUUUCUCCUCAUUCAUGUGCACCUUUUCAAAGUAUUCAGUGGAGAUUGGCCCCAUCAGUCACGUUUUCCAUAAUGCAUGGUUACGUCACCAUCCAUUUGCUAAGUUGUCAUGCCUUUUUUCUACACCAACUCAGAAACCCCACCCGGCUGGUAUGGUUUUCAUUUUUUAUUUAUUUAUUUUUUUUAACCAAUAUAAAUAAGGCAUGAACCCAUCCAUUUUCAUAUCUGUACCUAAUGUUAAUAUUAAGUGAUUCUACUUAAAAAUACUUUUAGUUUAUAUUAUUAUUAUCUGUAAUACUUUUAUUAUUUAGAGAUAAUUACUUAAUAUUUAAAUAUAUAAAUAAGAAAAAAAAUUCAAAAAAACAUCCAUCAAUAUAUAAUAUAACAAAUUAUUGUCUUUAAAACCUAAUUUUUAGCAUAAAAAAAAGGUAUUUUAUCUCACUCAAAGUUACUCCCAAAUCAACUCUUAAGGAUUGUUUGAAAUUGCAAAUUUAACUUUUAUAUUGAUAAAUAAAAGAGGUAAAAGUAAUUGUUAUGUUUGAAAAUUAUAUGUCAAAAAUAUUGUUAUUAAAGAGAAAGAUAAUUUUGAAAUUUUUAGUUAAAUAAAAAUUUUCUAAAAUAUAUAUAUAUAUAUAUAUAUAUAUAUAUAUAUAUAUAUAUAUAUAUAUAUAUAUAUUUAAUGCAUAUGAAUUUCUAUUCACAUCCAAUUAUGAUCUAAUAUUCUUAUAUAAAACCUCAUUCAAUUUAACAUGAGUAUAAUUACUUAUUUUAUUAUUUAUUAAUAUAUAUUAUAAUUAAUUAAUUAAUUUAUUUAUUUUAAAAAAAAAAACUAUGAAUGAUUGAUAUUUCCAUAAAAUCAAAACGUGAUGUAGACUAAUUGGUGCCUAGCGUUGACCCAAAGUCAAGUCUUUUCUCUAGUGUGGCAUUUUACACAUUUAUUUAUGAUUACCAAGACUUGGAAAAGCAACAUUAGGAAUUGGUGUUCCCCAAUUUUUUGUCAUCAGGUUUAAAAGAUAAAAUAGAGGGUAAGACAUGGAUUUAAAUUUUAUAAUCAGAUUAAAAAACCGAAAACAAUAUCUAUAAUCAAACAAUUUCACAUGUGUUUUGAAGUUUUAUUGUUUUAUUUAUUUAUAGAUUGAUUCAACAACCUAAAUUUUAUUAUAUAUAUUUAAUGAUUUAGAUUUUUUAUUUUAUAUGUAUAUUCUCUCUCUUAACAUUUUCUCAAAUUCCAUCAAUUCAUGAGUUUCCAAGAAGUAUCCCCUACUCCACUCCAUGAAACAUAUCUUGAAAAUGAAGUUGUCCCUUAGAAUAAAAUAUCUAUCCUCAAGACUUAAGACCUCAAACCUAAAGCUAAGGAUAGACCUCCAACCACCAUCUGGAGGACAUUAAUUAGUCUUGUUUUCUUAAUUUUUAUUUUCCAACCCCACUUUAACAACCGAAAAGAUUUACUUGUCUUUAUUUAUGAUUUAAAAAUAAAUAAAUUCAACUUUAUAUUAACUUGACUUUCAAAUAUACUAUUUAACCGUUGGUUUUCAUCUUUCCCACCCAUCUUCCUCCCAACUCAUAGAGAAGCGGUAAGGAACUCAAUGUCACCAAAAUGCGGAAACCACCAUUUUUAUUUACCAAAAUUCCAUUCCCCGCUCUAUUUCUCCUCCUCGUCUUCUCCUUAACCUUUCAAGUAAUUUCCCAAAAUCUAGAUGCUGAACGAUCAAUCCUACUAGACGUUAAACAACAACUGGGCAAUCCACCGUCACUCCAAUCGUGGAAUUCCUCAUCCUCGCCCUGUGAUUGGCCGGAAAUUACAUGCAUCGACAAUAUCGUCACUGAAAUUUCACUCAGCUACAAGACCAUCACAAAGAAAAUUCCGGCCAGAAUUUGUGACCUCAAGAACCUAAUCGUACUUGACGUCUCCUACAAUUACAUUCCAGGCGAGUUCCCGGAUAUUCUCAAUUGCUCUAAGCUCGAAUAUCUCCUCUUGUUGCAAAACUCCUUCGUGGGUCCAAUUCCAGCUGAUAUUGAUCGACUUUCACGUCUCCGAUACCUAGACCUCACCGCAAACAACUUCUCUGGAGAUAUUCCCGUAGCAAUUGGGCGGCUACGGGAGCUGUUCUACUUGUUUCUGGUUCAAAAUGAGUUCAACGGCACCUGGCCAACGGAGAUUGGUAAUUUGUCAAAUCUUGAACAAUUGGCCAUGGCCUAUAAUGACAAAUUCCGGCCUUCAGCCCUUCCAAAGGAGUUUGGCGCAUUGAAGAAGCUGAAGUAUCUGUGGAUGACGAAGGCAAAUUUGAUGGGCGAAAUACCGGAGAGCUUCAACAAUCUAUCGAGUCUGGAACUCUUGGACCUCUCAAACAACAAAUUGGAAGGUACGAUCCCGGGAGGCAUGCUUACAUUGAAGAAUUUGAACUAUUUUCUUUUAUUCAUUAAUAGAUUGUCCGGCCACAUUCCUUCAUCCAUAGAAGCUCUCAACUUGAAAGAAAUUGAUCUUUCCGACAACCAUUUGACGGGGUCCAUACCAGCGGGUUUCGGGAAGCUACAAAAUUUGACGGGUUUGAAUCUUUUCUGGAAUCAGUUGUCAGGAGAGAUACCAGCAAAUAUAAGCCUCAUUCCUACACUUGAAACUUUCAAAGUUUUUAGCAAUCAAUUGAGUGGAGUUUUACCUCCAGCAUUUGGCCUUCAUUCGGAGCUCAAACUCUUUGAGGUUUCCGAGAAUAAACUAAGCGGGGAAUUACCUCAACAUUUAUGCGCUAGGGGGACUUUGCUUGGAGUGGUCGCUUCCAACAACAAUCUCAGCGGGGAAGUGCCCACGUCCCUCGGGAAUUGCACAAGUUUGCUCACCAUUCAACUUUCCAACAAUCGUUUUUCAGGCGGGAUUCCUUCCGGCAUCUGGACAUCCCCGGACAUGGUAUCGGUGAUGUUAGAUGGAAAUUCAUUCUCAGGGACACUUCCAAGUAAAUUGGCAAGGAAUUUGUCUAGAGUGGAGAUCGCUAACAACAAGUUUUAUGGUCCAAUUCCUGCUGAAAUCUCUUCCUGGAUGAACAUCUCUGUGCUCAAUGCCAGCAACAAUAUGUUGUCUGGAAAAAUUCCAGUGGAAUUGACCAGUCUUUGGAACAUCACUGUUCUGUUGCUUGAUGGGAAUCAAUUCUCGGGUGAACUUCCAUCCCAGAUCAUCUCAUGGAAGUCGCUCAAUAAGUUAAAUCUCUCAAGAAACAAACUUUCUGGCCUAAUUCCCAAGGCAUUAGGUUCUUUAACUAGCCUUAGUUACCUCGACCUGUCAGAAAACCAGUUCUCAGGUCAAAUUCCUCCUGAACUUGGCCAUUUGAACCUUAUUAUCCUCCAUCUUUCGUCCAACCAACUGUCUGGGAUGGUCCCCAUUGAGUUUCAACAUGAAGCAUAUGAAGACAGUUUCUUGAACAAUCCCAAGUUGUGUGUCAAUGUUCCCACUUUGAACCUCCCUAGAUGUGAUGCCAAACCCGUCAACUCCGACAAAUUGUCAACCAAAUAUCUCGUUUUCGCUCUAUCUGGUUUCCUAGCUGUUGUUUUCGUCACCCUGUCCAUGGUUCAUGUCUAUCAUAG
rnacentral:lncRNA from 1 species